rnacentral:lncRNA from 1 species
CCAGCAUCUGCGAUCGGUGCACCAUGUCGACCAUGGAUUGCGUCUGAUAGACACCAACAAGGUUAGCACUGUCGGUCGGUUCCCCCGCGCUGUUGCCCUUUGCAUAGAAUGCGAGCUCAGACCAGAAAGCAUGUACGCGCGGCCUGUGGUUCGGUACCUUUGAUGAUCCGCCGUCCUCUCCUGCAACUGCUUUAACUCUGCAUCCAGCGCCAAACAAAACUGAUCGCCCGAUAUUGCCGCCCUGGACUCCGAUAGUUUCUUUCUGAAUUCUUCCAGCACGGACACCGCCUCAGUAAGUGCGCCCCUUUCCACUGCCAGCCUGGCCGUUGACAUGGCCUCUGCGGCUCGCAGGCGGUUCCACUCUCGAUCGACCUCAAUCGAGACUUCUUGAUCUGCACAAAACUUUGGCCCUUGGAUUGUCACUUCAUCUUGCAAUUCUACACGCUCCUUCGUCCUCGAAUCUUUGUAGGCGCAAUUCACUUUCACUAACAUCGUAGUCUCUUGCUGCGAUCGUGGAAUGUUCACUAAAACAAGAAAAUCCCUCUCUUCGUCAGCAUAUAUGUCACCGACUUUGAUCGAUCCUCUUCGAGAAUCAGUAUCCACCUGAUUAUCGUACCCUCCCGACUUAAGAGAAUUGAGAAGCACGCCAGGAUCCGAGCACUCUAAUUUUACUUGCAUUUCUUGCACAACCGCGCUAAGGAGCCCGCCGAUGCACUGUGCGAACGCGUCCUGAAUCGCACUCUCAGUUUCAAUAAAAGAGAAGGUUCCACUAGAUGUCUCGGCGAUCGAAUGCAAGGCAGUUGAAUCGUGAUCGGUGCCAAAUCCAAAGGCGUGGAUCGGAAUUCUUUGGCCUGAGCCAAAGAAUGGAUAACGGGAUAAGCGGCCUAUAGUCUAUAGAGGCUCCGCUAUUGUUAGAGGAGAUGGUGUACGUAUCUUGUCCAUCGGAAAGAAGGAUUAUGCUACCAACUGGAUUCUUAAGACGCCGUUGAUCGAACACCUUGGCAGCUUUCUUCAAUCCCUCUGCUAUGUUGGUGCCGCCGUUAGCAACCAGCGAUCGAAUUGACAGCUUGCAGGGCUGCAUGCCUACCAAUCUCUGACAUACGACGGAGGUGGAAGAGCCGACGGGCCAUGGAUGAAAAUGCAAUGACGGAGAGCCGAUCAGACGGACCGAGAUUUUGGAUCACAAACCCUAAUGCGCGCUUCAAAAGUGCAAGUUUCGUUCCCGCCAUGCUGCCACUUACAUCAAUGACCGCGACGAGGUCUAUAGGAGCACGCGAAGAUUGCACGCUCGUCGAAGUAGGAUGAGGGGCUUUGACAUGUAUCAAUAUAGUAAAGUCUUCGUGCGAUGAUGAUUGUGGAAUCGCAGAGAAUUCCGGAUAUGUCCUUAACUCCACUCUUCUAUCAGAUUCAGUUUGGGGAAUUUGAACUGUUUCGGACUGCAAAACUAUAGGCUCAUCAUCAUUGAAAGCGGCCGGCUCUUCAUCACGGUAGAGAGGAAGGUACCGGUGCACCUGGCUCACAAAGUCUACGACUGGGUUCGCUUGAGCUUGUCCGAGAGUUACGUCAAAGGCGGGGGGGCUGAGGAGGGGAAUCUCACUCCAUUUGGCUCUACAAACCGGACACAGAGAAUUACCGUGCUUUAUGCUCGAUGAGAUGCAGUGGAAGUGGAACAUAUGAGAGCAUUCUGCAGUGAAGAGCGCAUGGCCGCAGCCGGCCGGUUUCAUGGCACAAAGGCAUAUGGCACAUAUUCUCUGAAAAUGUGCUUUUUUUUAAUGAGACUUGUUAGGGAACUUGUAUAAACAUGUGAAAUAGAAAAUAGAUUACAAAAAUAACAAGAUUGCAUCUGGUAUAAUAGGUUUCAUAUUUAGAGCUGAAGGGUGAACUAGAAAAAACAAAUGUACUCAAACUAGAUAACAAAUAUAUAAAAAAUUGAUCAUACAGGCUAAAUUUUGCUUACAUAGAACAGAACAAGGUACAAAAUUGAAGCGCUAAUUUUAAGCAAUAAUGCACCAAAAGAAAGUUAAUAUGGUUACUAGGAAUUUCAUUAUCAGCAAAGUCAAACACAAAUAUAUACUAAACAUUUUAGAAAAUGAUAGAUCCAAAAUCUUCUUCUGGUUUUUUUUUUUUUUUUUUUUUUUUUUUUUGUCUCAUAUUAAACAGAUUAUCAAAAGGAGUUCCAGGGCCUUUCACUCAACUGAAUACCAGUGAUUAGAACUUGCAUCCUAUAUGUAAUUGUACACUGCGUACGUACAUAUUAUACAUACAAAGAAAUGUGUCCGAUUACAUUUAAAUAUAGCCAGAUAAAUAGCAGGCGAUCAUAAAAAGAAGCACAAAAUAGGGCUUGGAUAACAGAGCAAAGUAUCUGCAAGAUAGAAGUAUGAGUUAUUUAACUACCCAAUACCAUAUAACAGACUCAGAGAUAGGGAUGCAAACGGAUCCGGGUUGGUGGAGCUCCGGCCCCGAUCCGCCCCGACGGGAGCAGUAAAUGAGAGAAAAUAAACGGAUUCGGGGCAGGAAACGGGAUAAGUUUUACGAUCCGAGACGGAUUCGGGGCAGAAAACGGGAAAAAUUUUGACCCGCCCCGAAUCCGCCCCGCCCCGAAUCCGCCCCGAAUAUCAUUUGUAUUUUUAAAAAAUAUUCCCCAAAAAUAAUUAUUUAUAAAAAAGUUUAAAAUACAAAUAAAUUAUUACUCUCAUUUCUAUGUAUUUGAAAUAUUUGAAUUUUGUUUUGAAUUGUGAUUGAUAUUUUUAAUUUUUACCAUUAAUAUUAUUAAAUUAUAUAUAUAAUAUUAUUAAAAAUUAUUAAUUUAUAUUUUACAAAAUAUUAAUAAUAUUAUAAUUUUAUAAAAAAUAUUAGUUGGCGGGCGAUUCGGGGCGCCGGCGGGAGGCGGUUACGAGGCGGGGCGGAUUAUGGGAUGUAUUUUUUAACCGCUCACGGAUUCGGGGCGGGAGGCGGGACGGAAUUUUGCUAGUCGGGGCGGAGCGGGGGUUGUCUUCCGCCGCCAGAUCCGCCCCGUUUGCAUCCCUACUCAGAGAUGAUCUAAAAGUAUACAACACCAGUUAAUCCUCUAAAACAUUAACAUCAACAAAGAAUAUAAUAUCCUACACAAUUUUUGUCUUCGAAUUUUUGUUUGUUAUAAUUUCUGACCGGAGUUAUGAGAUGCGCGACAUUUUAGCCGUCGAACUGUAGUUGCAAUUUUUUGUUCGAACUAUAAGGCGUAUGGCACUUUAGUUCUCAAACUUUUCGAAUUAUUACAAUUAAGAUUCACCGUCCAUUUUUUUUUUUUUAAAUAAGCGUUGAUGAAGUACUAAUAUUAAAAUAAUAUAAUAUUUUAAUUAUUAUUAUAUUAUUAAGUAUGAUAUUUUUAUGAUUUAGAAAGUUCGAGAACUAAAAUAUUACAUAUCUUAUAAUUCGUACAAAAAAUUAUAACUAAUUAAAGUUCGAAAUUAAAAUAUCACGCUCCUCGUUCGAGUCAAAAAUUACAACGAAUUAAAGUUCGAUGACUAAAUUAAGUAUUGCACUCCUAGUAGUUUUUAGACCAAAAGUGUAAUUUACUUUUAUUUUAUUUUAUUUUAUUUUUUCGUCAUCUUGGUGUGGGUACUGCCUAGACCACAAUGUAAUUCCCUCCCACAUUCCUGAAUUGAAUCUUGGACUUUUUUUAAGAUGAGCAUCAGAUGGGUAAUAUGAUUUUCAAGGGGCCCAACACGGUGGGAAAACUCCUUUGUGAGUGGCUGAGAAGGAAUUCGCAGAGAACUCCUACAUGAUUGGCUGUUCAAAACUGUUGGGUUUAUCCUUUCGGUCAUUGAUUGUGUUCAUCUGAUCAUUUGAGGAAGAAGUAGAGAGCUAGCUACACAGGAAACAUGGCUUUGGCCUUGGUAGCUGAGUCCGCGGCAUCGGUCGUAAUCGAGAAGCUGAUCAGCACAGCCGUAUCCUACGUCGGGACGUGCGGUGCCGGGCCGAGCACCAUGCAGGACGAGAUCCAGAGGCUUCAGCAGGCUUUUCUGCGGAUUCGAACGAUCUUGGCUUUCGUCGAGGGGGGGCAGACCGUCACUACGAAGCAAAACGACGUACUGGACGCCUGGCUGUGGCAGCUCAGAGACGCUGUCGAUCAGGCGGAGGACGUGCUCGAUGAGAUGGAGUACUACGAGCUGGAGAAGGCAGUGCAAGCUGGAGAUAACAAGGUACUGUCGGGGGUUAAAGUCUGGAAUUUGAUUUAAUUUUACAGAUUUUUGAUUAAAUCAACUAACAAAUAAAUAUUAAAUUAAAGACAAAAUUAAAUUAAUAGAUAAAAGGUUUCGAAAAAUAGCAAGGUGAGACGUGCAAUAAAGUAACUUUAGUCUCUCUGCGUGUUUGUCUUCGGCUAGUUGCUCUAGCAACACAAUACUUCGAAUUAUUCCGAUCUGCUUAAUUGUACGGUCUCAAAGAAGUGCCUAAUUUAAUAUCAAUUCGACUUUCAAAAUUUCAACUUUCGAAAAUAAGAUAUGAUAGAGUAAAAUUUUUUUUUUAAUUACAAUCUCGUAUAUAUCUCUUUUUUAUUAUUAUAUCUCGUAUAUAUCUCGUAUAAUAAUAUAUAAACUUGACGGUCGAAAGAACGAUGUAGGACCUUCUGCUAAAGAGGGAUACACUAUCCCGCAUCUCGUGGAAAGCUGUGUACCCCAUUUUUCCGAUAGAGGAGAGAGAAUACGUUGCGUAACUAAAGGUGUCCGUGGACCGCGUCAGGUUUGGGUAGUUGAUAUACUAUACCCGUACCCUAAAACGAGAUGGAUACGAAAACAAAAACUAUACCCUACCCAUUUGACUUCGGAUCGGAUUCGGGUCUGAAUACUUAAAUUAAUAAUAUACCAAUCAGGUCUAUUUGAGCGGGUCUGGAUAGUGAUUACCUAUAUACUAUCCGCUUAAAAUCGAAUGCUAGGGUCUAGAUCGGGUAUGGGUACCAUAUGUAUAUAUUUUUUAUAAAUUUUAUUAAACAAUUUAUAGACAAAUUAUAAACCUAUCAUGAUAAAAAACCCACGUUUAAUUAGUUGCACCUAGUCCAAUAAAAUUCGUUUAAAAAAAAAGAUUCAAAUAGUAAACAGCUACAAUUAAAAAAUGAGUUAAAAAAAAAAGAGUAAACAAAAAGACCAGGGUUUUCACUAGGAUGAAAAUAUACAGAGAUCCUUCAUUUCUAAGUCCUAUUGAAAUUGAUCGCUCAACUUUAGAUUUUUUAUUUGCUAUCGGGUAUUUUACCGGGUCCAGAUCCGAGUCCGGUUCCGAGUUCGGAUUUGAAACCUCUUCCAUACCCUACCCAUUAAAAGAUCGGGUUCAGGUCCAAGUCGGGUAUGGAUAUAAAGUAUUCGGACCCAUACCUGAAACUUUAAUGGAUAUUCUUUUUUACCCGUAUACUAUCUAUUUUUUAUCGGGUCCGGUUUGGAUCCGGAUAGGGUCCGGAUCGGGUAUGGUAUAUCGGAUAUUUUGGACAGCUUUACGCGUAACUUCCUCAUAUUAAAUAUAUUGCAUUUAAAUUAAAUUUUAAAUUGUCUUUUAAUAAUCUAUUUGAUUUUAAUUAAAUUUCUUAACUUAGACUAAUUCCAACAGGUACAACAAGGUACUGCACUCAACUUAAAAAGGAAGUUUGCUGAUUUUGCUAACAAUAUCUUCGGAAACGACGACACCGUGACGAGGUUGAGGGAGGCCGUGAAGGCGUUAGAUAAUGUUGCUGCUACUAGUGAAACUUUACUCCAGCUUGUUUCGCAGCUAUAUAAUUCGGAUGUUAAGCGUCAACAGGAAGAUGAGAUACGAAAUGCUCGUGAGACUAGCUCCUUUUUAACUGAGGAUACGAUUUGUGGCCGAGACACGGAGAAGGAAAGGAUAGUUGAAUGGUUAACAAAACCGACAAGCGAUGAGCCGGAGAAUGCUUCUGCAACUGUCGAAAAGGUCUCGGCUUUUACGAUCGUUGGCAUGGGUGGGUUGGGAAAAACUACUCUCGCGCAGCUCAUCUACCACGAUGAAAAAGUGCGGCAGUGCUUUGACUUGGUUUUGUGGGUGUGUGUUUCCGAUCAAUUUGAUGUGGCUAUGCUGACAAGAAAGACCUUAGAAGCGGCAGGGGUUUGGGAUAGCCUCGGAGACAAGAGACUUAAUACAAUUCAAGAGAUUCUUAAAGAGAAGCUGAUCUCCAAGAAGUUUCUUCUCGUGCUGGAUGAUGUUUGGAAUGAUGAUAAAAUACUUGAAUGGGAUAAAUUCAUGGCUCCUUUAAAAUUCGGAAAGAAAGGAAGCAAGAUUCUCUUGACAACGCGAAUGAAUUCAGUGGUGAAUACAGUAGCCAAAGUUCUACAAGGUAAAAAAGAAUCUUUAAAAUUGAGUGGGUUAAAAGAAGAUGAUUUUAUACUACUUUUCAAUAAGCAUGCCUUUGCCGGAGAGAACAUUGACAAUCAUAGAAACUUACAGUUGAUUGGUCAACAAAUAGCAAAGAAGCUUGGGGGAUGCCCGUUGGCAGCAAAAAUUUUGGGCGGAUGUCUGAACUCUUGGAUGGAUGAAAAAUAUUGGAGAAGAAUUUUGAAUGAAAAUUUUCUAAAUUUGCGAGAAAGUGAGGACAACAUUAGGAUGAUUCUGAGAUUGACCUAUCAUCAUCUGCCGACAAGCUUGCAAAUUUGCUUUAGAUACUGCAGUAUAUUUCCUAAGGAUUCUUUGUUUGAAAAGAAUGAGCUUAUCCAUGUGUGGAUAGGUUCUGGGUUAAUCAAGAAACAAGUAUAUGAAAAGCGAAGCUUAGAGGAUAUCGGAGAGGAGUAUUUAAACCAUCUAGCAAGAAAAUCCCUUUUUGAUAUCAAAAUAAGCGACUAUGGUUCUGACCGUAAACAACAUUAUGUCAUGCAUGAUCUGUUGCAUGAUCUAGCUCAAUUUGUCUCUUCAGGGGAAUGUAUGGGAGUUGAAGGUGACGGUUCCAGACAAAUUCCAAAAACAAUACGCCACUUAUUUCUCAACAGGGUAAACAGUCGUAUGAUCUCCAAUCUCAAGAACUUACGCACCCUUAUUAUUAUUCAUUCAGACAAGGACUAUGAUGCAGUAGCUUUUAAUGAGGUUCUAAAAGAGUUAAAAAGCUUACGCUUACUACAAGUGAGUAUAGUUGACUAUAAGUUUCCCGAUGAAGUUGGUAAACUCAUUCACCUCCGCUACCUCUCCCUCUGGACUUUCACACAAAAGGAGGUAUCUAUUGUACCUCAAUCUGUGUGUAGACUCUAUCACCGACUUUCGGGGAACUGAAAUAGAUGAUUCGACACUGGAUGGAAUGAGCAAUCUAGUUCAAUUGAGGCUGCUAAAUAUUCCUGCUUUUGUAACAGCCAAGAUUCCUUGGAUCGGCAAAGUAACAUUACUUCAGAACUUAAAUUAUUUCCAUGUCCGUGAGGAGCGCGGCUAUAAUAUAGAUCAAUUAAAAGACCUGCAAAACCUCCGAAAAUUAUGCAUUAGGGGCCUGGAAAAUGUAAGGAGUUCCGAAGAGGCUGCGGAUGCCAACUUGAUUGAGAAAAAAAAUCUUGAUGAAUUGUCACUCGAUUGGUCUAGGAAUCGCUCUGGUGGUCUCGAGGUAGAUCAGCCGCUUCUUGAUAAUUUAAAACCACAUACCAAUCUCAAGACACUUGCAAUCGCAGGAUACGCCGGAGUUAGAUCUCCACAUUGGAUGACGGCGACAUCUCUUUCCAAUGUAACAGAUAUCAAUCUAUACGACUGUAGCAGAUGGGAGAACCUCCCACCUUUUGGGCAACUUCCUUUGCUCAGGCUUCUUAAUUUACAAAGCAUGCGGGCUGUGAAGAAACUAUGGUGCUCAAGAAGUGGUGGUGGUUGCGCCUUUCCAUCACUACAGGAGCUACAAUUGUUUGACAUGCCAGACUUGGAGUUGUUCGAAGGUGAGCACAUGUUUCCUCUGCUUAAUAAAUUGCUUAUACAUUCUUGUCCUAGCUUGAAGGGUUUACCUGCUUUGCCUCUUACUCUAAAUCAACUGGAGAUUAAGGAGGCCGGAUUGACUUCUCUUCCGAUGAUGCAACAAGAUUGCAGUAGCGGCCAAGGACGAGCAUCAUGCUCAUCAUCGCAUCCGGCACUUUCUGAACUAAGAAUUUGUGAGUGCCCCAACCUCACAUCUCUAGAUGGAUUCAUGUUGCAGCAACAAUAUUUUCCAGCCUUGAAGAGUUUAUCCAUUGAAAGAUGUGAAAAUCUAAGGCAUUUGCCGGAAAAAUUCUUCCAAAAACUUCCCUCCCUCGAGCGUUUGACUAUAGAAAUGUGUCCCAAUCGCACGACGCACGGGAUUCUAGACGAUCGAUUGCCCGAGACGCUUGAAAAGCCCACUCUUGUAUCAAACGGCGAUCUCUAUCUGUCGCUACUCGAGUCAUUGCCAAUACUGGCCGCUAUACGCUACUUGUCCAUUGUUGGUUGUGCAAGCAUGACGUCCUUUCCUCUGGCGGAAGUUUUUCCAAGGUUGUCGCAACUCUGCAUCCGGAAUUGUAAGGAACUGUCGUCAGUGGAUGGGCUACAAGCUCUCCCCUCGCUUGAAUCCUUGCAGAUUGGAGGGUGCGACGCGCUCGUCGAGCUUUCACUGUUGCAACCACCAUUAGGCGUCGCUAGUACCAGCCACACAGAUAUGGUGCUGCGCCCUUCAAUGGAUCUUUAUAUCGACCGGCCAGCUCUGUUGCGUCUCGAACCACUGAGAAGCCUCAGCUUUGUUAGCUCACUCAGCAUACAUGAUGGCACCGAACUCACAUCCCUCGACGAGCAAUGGCUGUUGCAAAACCGAAACUCCCUUAAAAGCUUGGAAAUUUUUGAGGCCUCGUCUCUUGUAUCCUUACCAACCAGUAUGAUUGAUCUUCAAGCCCUGCGUCAUUUGACUAUAGAUGAUGCUCCUUUGCUUGAGACGAUUCCAGAGCUGCCCGCCUCAAUGAAUUCUCUAACAAUUACCGGCUGUCGCCCCGAGUUGAAGGAGUACAUAGAAGGCUCCCAAAAAUUCGCCAAUAUUCGUUGGGUGCAGGUUACUGAAAAAUCUCCUUACUAAGAAAAAGAUCGGGUAUGCCCCAUCUCUGUACUAUCUCUAACCCUCUUAAAUGCAACUUUUUCUUCUCAAUAUUAUUUGUAUCUUAGUCUUGUUUUACUACCCUGCUUUUUUUUUUUUUUUUUAAUUUUUGUUCCUCUACUUUCAGCAGCAACAGACUCUUAACAGAGCAUGUGACAUAUAAAAUAUUAUAUUUGUUAGAGAAGUAUAUUUUUAUAUUGUUUAUUAACUUAAUUACUAAUUGAAUAAGUGGUAAAGGGUUGGGUGGUUGGUAUCCGAGACCCAAGUUCGAAUCCUAGUUGAUUGACAUUUCCAACUAAGUUUAUUUUUAAAUGAAAUAAACGAAGCGGGUAGCAUGCUACCUAUCUCUCAAAAAAAAAUUAUUAAUUGAAUAAAUUUAAAUAAAAAAUUUAAUAAUAAAAAAAAUUUAAAUUGGUUUGUGUGCAACAUAAAUUUUUGUAAAAACUUAUUAAUAAUUAAAUUAUUUUAUAAAANGUGUGCAACAUAAAUUUUUGUAAAAACUUAUUAAUAAUUAAAUUAUUUUAUAAAAACAUGUGUGAAAAAAAAGAGAGAAAACUAUUACAAUAAUUUUAAAAAAAAAUAUAUAAAUUUAAAAUUUAGAAAAUUUUAUAGAUAUAUUAACUGUUUGUUAUUAGUUAUUUAAUUUUAUUCAUAGAAAAAUAAUUAUAAUUAUUGAAUUUGGCCAUCUUUUGUAUGAAAUUUAAUAAACAUUUUGUCUAGUUAACAAAAAUUAAUCAUAAAAUAUUUUUUAAAAAAUCAGUUAAAAAAAAAUUUGAGGGGCCUAUUUCAAAGAAUCCUAAUAGUUGAGGGGUCUAUUGUCAUAUAAGUUGCAUGAGUGUUUUUUCCAAAGUAGGUAGAUGUGUAGGUCACUAUACAGUAUAUUUGUUUGAAAUUCUAAAAUAGUUUUUCUUUUUUCCCAGAUUGAUAGACCUUUAAGCUAAGAAAAUUUUAUGCAACCCUUUAUAUUAUGGAAUGCAUGGUUGAUUUGUUUAUGUUUCAAUAAAGGCUUGCGCUUAUCUUGCCUUCAAAUUAGGAGCUCUAUCAAAUUUAUAAUCAAGCAGAGCUGAUUGCAGAACAGAAAAUAUGAAAGCAUCGGUGAAUUUCUGUUUCGGCAAGUUCACCUUUUAGGUAGUAAUUGCUUGAUGAAGUUCAAAGUAGUUCAUUGUUACGUUUUAUAUAUUUAUUUUCUCUUCAGUUUCUUUACUAUGAUAUUCUGAUACUAUGUUUGAUAACAGAUUUAUCAGCUUGCUUUCUUCUGCAGUUGGCUUCAGUGGACAAAGUAUGAGGGAGCUCUUUCUGUACCAAUUCGAUCUAUUUCUACCUUUUUUUUGUUCGCACCUGUUGUUGCUAGUAUAAUAGCUGUACUACUAAAAUAUUAAAAAAAUAAUGUAGUGGAAGUGAUUUGCAAGUUGUAAUACUAAACAGAAAAACCGAAAGAUCUCCAAACGAAGUUGUGCUGUAUUGUUAAUUUAGACAUUUUGAUUUACAAUAAAUGCAAAAUUGAGAUGGUUCUUUGUUCUCUUUCUCAAUUGAGCUCAUUGUUUGCAAACAUCUCAUGUCCUGCUCGAAACUUAGCAAGGGCUCCAGUUCUAAAAGCUAAAGUGAGUUUACAAUAAAUAUGUGAUGUUGUGUUUGAAGAGGAUAGUGCUAAUAACCUUAGCAAUCUUUUACCUAAGGUAAGGUAUUCAUUCACAAGUAGGUCUGAGUUUGAUUCGAAAUUGAAUAAGCAAGCUCGAGCUUGGCUCAAUCAUAAACAAGCCGAAAAUGACCAAGCAAAAGUUUUUCAAUAAAUGCCCACAAUGUUAACAAGCAUAUAUACGAAGCAGAAUUUCCUUCUUUACAACACCAAAAUCAUAAAACCAAAAUGCUUAGUAAUAGAGAGAGAGGGGGAAAAAAAAAAAAAAACAAAACAAAGCACCUAUAACGCCGCAUCAGGAUUUGUCGACAAAGAUUGUAUAAGAGCACUCCUAUCCUGCUAGCUAGCAAGGAAUAUUUAUAGGAGCCAAAAAAAAAAAUCAUAAGUAUGAUUGAUUUAAAAGUAUGAAGACUCAGCAACACUUAUGUAUUCUGCAGAUUAUUGAUAUAAACUAAGCCAUCAACAUUUUAAGCGUAGUCGUAUGUAAGAUCCAUUGUAAGGAGGAAACUUAAAAAGUGAAUGUAUCCUUCAGAAAUUAAUGUUUGAUAUAUAUUAAUUAACAAGCUAUGUGCCAAUAUUUACACCAUGUUGCACUCAAGAAUUGCAACGCGUUUGUCCCAUCGUAGAGCGUCCAAUUUCUACAAAUUAUAUUUUUAUGGUUUGGUUAAACUGUGCUGUCAUGUAAGCGUUUGUACAAUAUGAUUAAAUUUUAUUCUAGCCCUCAAACAUUUAAGCGUGAUAUUUUAAAACUUGGAAGGUUUAAAAAGCAAUUUACAACCCUGCUGCAGCUUCAGCUUCUGGAACUCCUCUUCGAGCUCGUCGUUCAAAGGCUUGGGCUCUGCUGCUUCUGCUGGUAAUUUCUUUCUUUCUCUCUCUCUCUCUCUCUCUCUCGUGAUGUGCUUGUUGGUCAACUCUGACGGAGACGAUAAUUGGGGCGUAGGACCUCGAAAACCCUAGAGAUCGGGGCGACGAAGGAUUGAGCGAAGUGGUUCUCCUUCGCUUUCGAUAUGGGAUUAGUGGAGGGAGUCGAUUGUAACAUUUCCAUCGAAAACAUCAUUCUCAAGAGUAUUAGUUUUCACCGACCGUCCAUAGUUAAAGUGGCACAGGAUUUGACUGUGGCAUCCGAGAUCUCAAAUUUGAAUCCUAGUUGAGUUAUAUUUCCAGUUCAGUUUAUUUAUAAAUAAAAUAAACGAAGUGGAUAGCAUGCUAUUUAUCUCUCAAAAAAUAAAAAGAGUAUUUGUUUUUCGGAAAAAAAAUUCGAAAAACAGAAACGAAAGUUAAAUUUUUCAGGAAAUCUGAUUUUAUUUUUUUAAACAAAAUUUUCUUUUUUUCUGGGAAACAGAAAAAAAAACUAUUUUUUUUAAAAUAUUGGAAAACUAAGCACUGAUAAGUAGCGUAAGUAGAUAUAGGUAAAUUACACGUUUAGUCCUAAAACUAUAUGUGGCUUGAUAUUUUUGUUCUCGAACUUAAUUUGUCUAAAUUUUUGACUUGCGUUAUGAAAUGCAUCCCACUUUAGCCCUCAAACUAUAGUUGUAAUUUUUUGAUCAAACUAUAAGGAAUGUGAUACCUUAGCUCUCGAGCUUUUUGAAUUAUUACAAUUGAGUCUUACAAUCUAAUACUUUUAAAUAAGUAUUGAUGAAUUACUAAUAUUGAAAUAAUAGUAUUUUAAUUAUCAUAGCAUCAUUAAGUACUAAAUAGGAUAUUACUAUAAUUUAGAAAGUUCAAAGGCUAAAAUCAUAUAUAAUUCGAACCAUAAAUUACAACUAAUUAAAGUUUAAGAAGUAAAGUGUCACGCAUCUCAUAUUCAAGUCAAAAAUUACAACAAAUUAAAGUUCGAGGCCCAAAGUAUCACACUGGUAGUAGUCUUAUGACCAAAAGUAUAAUUUACCUUCUUCUUCUUUUUUUUCGGUCAGCUUGGUGUAGGUACUGCCUAGAUCACAACGUAAGCCCCACGCACACUCCUGAAUCUGAAUAUUCUUGGACAUUUAUUAAGAUAAUAAUUAUUCAGAUAGGUAACAUGAUCUUCAACGUUGAUUUUGGCUGUUCAAAACUGUUGAUUUUUUUUUUUGAGAUUUAGUCCUACAUGAUUUUGGCUGUUCAAAACUGUUGGGUUAUCCUUUCGGUCAUUGAUUGUGUUCAUUUGAUCAUCUGAGGAAGAAGUAGAGAGCUAGCUACACGCGAAACAUGGCUUUGGCCUUGGUAGCUGAGUUUGCGGCGUCGGUCGUAAUCGAGAAGCUGAUCAGCACGGCCGUAUCCGACGUUUGGGAACGCUGCGCCGGGCCGAGCGCCAUGCAGGAGGAGGUCCAGAGGCUUCAGCAGGCUUUUCCGCGGAUUCAAACCAUUUUGGAUAUGGUCGAGAGGGGCCAGACUGUCGGCACGAAGCAAAACGACGUGCUGGACGCCUGGCUGUGGCAACUCAGAGACGCUGUCGAUCAGGCGGAGGACGUGCUCGAUGAGAUGGAGUACUACGAGCUGGAGAAGGCAGUGCAAGCUGGACAUAACAAGGUACUGUUGGGGUUAAAGUCUGGAAUUUGAUUUAAUUUUACAGAUUUUUUAUUAAAUCAACGAACAAAUAAAUAUUAAAUUAAAGACGAACUUAAAUUAAAAGAUAAAGUGUUUCGAAAAAUAGCUAGGUGAGACAUGUAAGAGUAACUUUAGUUCCUCUGCGUAUUUGUCUUCGGCUAGUUUCUCUAGUGACACAAUACCUUGGAUUAUUCCAAUCUUCUUAAUUGUCCGGUCUAAAGAAGUGCUUGAUUGAAUGUCAAUCCGGCUUUCAAAAUCUCAACUUUAGAAAAUAAGAUAUGAUAGAGUAAAAAAAAUAUUUUUAGUUAGAAUCUCCUAUAUAUCUCUCUUUUAUUGCUUUUAUUAUAAUAUAUAAAGUUAACAGUCAAAAGGACGUUGUAGGACGUUCCGCUACAGAGGAAUACACGAUCCCGCAUAUCGUGGAAAGCAUUGUAACCCGUUUUCCAAAUAGAGGAGACAGAGAGAAUACGUCGCGCAACUUCCUCAUAUUAAAUAUAUUGUAUUUAAAUUAAAUCUUUUAAUUAUCUAUUUGAUUGAAAUUAAAAUUUUAACUUAAACUAAUUCCAACAGGUACAACAAGGUACUGCACUCAACUUAAAAAGGAAGUUCGCUGAUUUUGCUAACAAUAUCUUUGGAAAUGACGACACCUUGAUGAGGUUGAGGGAGGCCGUGAAGGCGUUAGAUAAUGUUGCUGCUGCUAGUGAAACUUUACUUCAGCUUGUUUCGCAGCUAUACAAUUCGGAUGUUAAGCAUCAACAAGAAGAUGAGAUACGAAAUGCUCGUGAGACUAGCUCCUUUUUAACUGAGGAUACGAUUUGCGGUCGAGACACGGAGAAGGAAAGGAUAGUUGAAUGGUUAACGAAACCAACAAGCGAUGAGCCUGAGAAUACUUCUACCACUGUCGGAAAGGUCUCGGCUUUUGCGAUCGUUGGCAUGGGUGGGUUGGGAAAAACUACUCUUGCGCAGUUCAUCUACCACGAUGAAAAGGUGGGGGAGUUCUUCGACUUGGUUAUGUGGGUGUGUGUUUCCGAUCAAUUUGAUGUGACCAUGCUGACAAGAAAGAUCUUGGAAGCGGCAAAGGUAUGGGAUAGCCUUGGAGACAAGAGACUUAAUACAAUUCAAGAGAUUCUUAAAGAGAAGCUGAUCUCAAAGAAGUUUCUUCUUGUGCUAGACGAUGUUUGGAAUGAUGAUAAAAUACUUGAAUGGGAUAAAUUGAUGGCUCCUUUAAAAUUCGGAAGGAAAGGAAGCAAGAUUCUCUUGACAACGCGAAUGAAUUCAGUGGCGAAUAUAGUAGCCAGAGUUCUACGAGGUAAAAAAGAAUCUUUAAAAUUGAGUGGGUUAAAAGAAGAUGAUUUUAUACUGCUUUUCAAUAAGCAUGCAUUUUCCGGAGAGAACAUUGACAAUCACAAAAACUUACAAUUGAUCGGGCAGCAAAUAGCAAAGAAGCUUGGGGGAUGUCCGUUGGCAGCAAAAAUUUUGGGCGGAUGUCUGAACUCUUGGAUGGAUGAAAAAUAUUGGAGAAGAAUUUUGAAUGAAAAUUUUCUAAAUUUGCAAGAAAGUGAGGACAACAUUAGGGUGAUUCUAAGAUUGAGCUAUCAUCAUCUGCCAACAAGCUCGCAAAUCUGCUUUAGAUACUGCAGUAUAUUUCCCAAGGGUUAUGAGUUUGAAAAGAAUGAGCUUAUCCGUAUGUGGAUAGGUUCUGGGUUAAUCAAGCAACCAAUACAUGAAAAGCGAAGCUUAGAGGAUAUCGGAGAGGAGUAUUUAAAUCAUCUAGCAAGAAAAUCCCUUUUUGAUAUCACAAUAAUCAAGUAUGGUUCUGACCGUAAACGUCAUUAUGUCAUGCAUGAUCUGUUGCAUGAUCUAGCUCAGCUUGUCUCUUCAGGGGAAUGUUUGGGAAUUGAAGAUGAUGGUUCCAGAGAUAUCCCCGAAACAAUCCGCCACUUAUAUGUCAACAGGGUACCAGUCAACAAGGUAAAAGUAAACCGUGUCAACAGGGUAAACCCUCUUAUGAUCUCCCAUCUCAAGAACUUACGCACUCUUAUUAUUCAUUUAAACGAGAAUUUCACUGUAGUAGAUUUUAAUAAGGUUCUAAAAGAGUUAAAAAGCUUACGCUUUCUACGAGUGACUGCAGAUGACUAUAAGUUUCCAGAUGAAGUUGGUAAACUCAUUCACCUCCGCUACCUCUCCCUCGCUUCUUCUGUUGUCAGAGGAAAUGAGGUAUCUAUUCUACCUCAAUCUGUCUGUAGACUCUAUCACCUAGAAGUAAUGAAGCUUCCGGCAAUGACAAUAGAUGAUUCGACACUGGAUGGAAUGAGCAAUCUGGCUAAAUUGAGGCUGCUACAUACUCCUUAUCGUAUAAUGGACAAGAUUCCUUGGAUUGGCAAACUAACAUCACUCCAGGAGUUACAUAAUUUCCAUGUCCGUAAGGAGUGCGGCUACAAGAUAGAUCAAUUAAAAGACCUGCAAAACCUCCGAAAACUACGCAUUAGGGGUCUGGAAAAUGUAAGGAGUUCCGAAGAGGCUGGGGAUGCCAACUUGAUUGAGAAAAAAAAUCUUGAUAAAUUGUCACUCUUUUGGUCUAAGAACCGUCGUGCUGAUCUAGAGGUAGAUGAGCCACUUCUUGAUAACUUAAGACCACAUACCAAUCUCAAGGAAUUAGAAAUUGAAGGAUACGCCGGAGUUAGAUCUCCAUAUUGGAUGACGGCGACAUCUCUUUCUAAUGUAACGAAUAUCAAUCUAUACAAUUGUAGCAGAUGGGAGAACCUCACACCUUUUGGGCAACUUCCUUUGCUCAAGCUUCUUAAUUUACAAAGCAUGCGGGCUGUAAAGAAAUUAUGGCGCUCAAUAAGUGUUGGCGGUUGCGCCUUUCCAUCGCUGGAGGAGCUACGAUUGAUUGACAUGCCGGACUUGGAGUUGUUCGAAGGCGAGCACAUGUUUCCUCGGCUUAACAAAUUGCUUAUAUCUUCUUGUCCUAACUUGAAGGGUUUGCCUGCUUUGCCUCUUACUCUAAAUCAACUGGAAAUUCUGGCGGUCGGAUUGACUUCUCUUCCGACGAUGCAACAAGACUGCAGUAGCGGCGAAGGACGAGCAUCGUGCUCAUCAUCAUCGCAUCCGACACUUUCUAAACUAAGCAUUUGUGAGUGCCCAAACCUCACAUCUCUAGAUGGAUUCAUGUUGCAGCAACAAUAUUUUCCAGCCUUGAAGAGUUUAUCCAUUGAAGAAUGUGAAAAUCUAAGGCAUUUGCCGGGAAAAUUCUUCCGAAAACUUCCCUCCCUCGAGGGUUUGGUUAUACAAAUGUGCCCCAAUCUCACGACGCACGGGACGAUUCUAGACGAUCGACGAUUGCCCGAGACACUUGAAAGGCCCACUGUUGUAUCAAGCGGCGAUCUCGAUCUGUCGCUACUCGAGGAGUCAUUGCCAAUACUGACCUCUCUAGUCACCUUGUCCCUUAAUGGUUGCGCGAGCGUGACAUCCCUUCCUCCGGCGGAAGUUUUUCCAAGGUUGUCGAAAGUCUACAUCUGGAACUGUGAAGAACUGUCGUCAUUGGACGGGCUACAAUCUUGCCCCUCGCUUGAAUCCUUGUCCAUUGGUGGCUGCGCAAGCAUGGCGUCCCUUCCUCCGGCGGAAGUUUAUCCAAGGUUGUCGGAACUCCACAUCUGGAACUGUAAGGAGCUGUCGUCACUGGAUGGGCUACGAGCGCUCCCCUCGCUCAAAUCCUUGUGGAUUGGAGGAUGCGACGCGCUCGUCGAGCUUUCACUGUUGCAACCACCGUUAGGCCUCACCAGUACCAGUCCCACAGAUAUGGAGCUUCCUCAUCUUCAAAUCGACCGGCAAGCUCUGUUGCGUCUCGAACCACUGAGAAACCUCAGCUCUGUUAGCUCACUCACCAUAACUGAUGAUACCGAACUCACAUCCCUCGACGAGCAAUGGCUGUUGCAAAACCGAUACUCCCUCCGAAGCUUUGCAAUUCUCAAGGCCUUGUCUCUUGAAUCCUUACCAACCAGUAUGAUGGAUCUUCAAGCCCUGUGUGAAUUGUCUAUUUAUGACGCUCCUUUGCUUCGGACGAUUCCGGAGCUGCCCACCUCAGUGACAUUUCUAAGAAUUACCGGCUGUCUCCCCGAAUUGAAGGACUACAUUGAAGGCUCUGGAAAAUUCGCCAGUAUUCGUUGUUUGCAGGUUGGUCAAAAAUUUCCUUAAGAAAAAGCUUGGGUAAAUGCACUUUUUCUUUCCAAUAUUAUUUGCAUCUUAGGCUUCUCUGGCCCUGCUUUUUUUCUUUUUUUUUUUUUUAAUCCACUACUUCCAGCAACAAACAGACGCUAAUAGAGCAUUCGACAUAUAAUUAACCCUAUAAUAUAUAUAGUGUUGAGCUACUAUACUAUCGAAAGAAUAAAAUAAUUGGUGCUUUCGAUUUUUUAGCAUUCGACAUAUAAUGUAUAGAGUAGAGCUACUAUGCUAUCGGAAGUAUAGAGGAUUUGGUGACUCCGAUUUUUAGCCCUUAGAUCAACCUUUUAAUUAUUUCUAAUGUUUGGAUUAAUACUAUUAAUCUGUGGGGACCACUCAACUCUAAGGAUACUACUCAACUCUGGGGGGAUCGCAAUCAUCCCAACCGUAUACUUUUUUAAAACAAUGGUCAAAAAGUUGAAAACAUCAUAUCCUCUAUACUUCCGAUAAUAUAGUAUCUCUACACUAAUAUAUAUAUAUAUAGAGUGCGUCUGGUAUGCUUAUAGAAGCACCGAGCGCUCCGUGCUUCCACUUUGUUUUCGAUGUUCAGACUUUCGAAUCGAAGAUCGGCUCCGUUAGACUCAAUCUAGAGUAUUUGAAGUAUCUAGAAAAUAAAUUUUGCGAUUUUUCGAUAUCAUUUGCCUAGUGAUCGAAGUGGCUCAAAAUCAACGGCUGAAAAUAAAAAUCUUACAAAAUAUGAUGAUAUGACAUUAAAAUUUUAGAUCAAUGUUAUUGAUCUUGUUUUAUAUGGUAUAAAGAAUUUUCUAUCAAAAUUUCAUGCGAUUUGGAUAUUUCUACACCGUUAAACUUGCAACCGGCUCACCACGGCCAUUAAAAUUAUUGAUUUUGAGCCCCUUCGAUCACUAGGCAAAUGAUAUUGAAAAAUCACAAAAUUUAUUUUUUAGGUACUUCAAAUACUCUAGAUCAACUCUAACAGAGCCGAUCGUUGAUUCGAAAGUCCGAACAUCGAAAACAAAGUGGGAGCACAGAGGGCUCCGUGCUUCCAUAAGCAUACCAGCCUACUCUCUAUAUAUAUAUAUAUAUGUGUGUGUGUGUGUGUGUGUGUUAGAAAAGUAUAUUUUUUAUACUAUUUAUUACCUUAAUUAUCAAUUAAAUAGAUAAUAAUAAAAAUAAUUUAAUCAGUUUAUGUGCAACAUAAAAUUUUGUGAAAACUAAUUAAUAAUUAAAUUAUUUUAUAAAGACGUGUGAAAAAAAAAGAGAGAAAACUAUUAAAUAAUUUUUAAAAAUUAUAUGAAUUUAAAAUUUAGAAAAUUUAAUAGAUAUAUUAAUUGUUUGUUAUUAGUUAUUUAAUUUAUUUCAUAUAAAAUUAUAUUAAAAAAUCAGUUAAAAGCCUAUUUCAAAGCAUCCUAUUAGUUGAGGGGUCUCCACACAAAAUUUUUUUGGUGCAAAUGUAUAGAGACUUUCUAAAUUUUUAGUUUUAGGCUUAAGUAAUUUUAUCAAAACUUUAUGAAUCUUUAUAAAAUUUAUUAGUAAUUUUACCAUAUUUAAUAAUUUUAAUUAUCUUUGGUUAUUUUAAUUAACUCAUUAGUAAAUUCAUCAGAUUUAAUAAUUUUAAUUAUCUUUUAUCAUUUUAAUUUAACGAAGUAUAAAAAUUAAGAUUAAAAAAGAAAUUAAAAUUUUUUUUUUUUUUUGAGAGAUAGGUAGCAUGCUACCCGCUUCGUUUAUUUCAUUUAGAAAUAAACUUAGCUGGAAAUGUAAAUCAACGAGGAUUCGAACUUGGGUCUCGGGUACCAACCACCAAGCCCUUUGCCACUUGCUCUAGGGAUGGUCGGUAAAACCCUGAUAAUUUUAAUACAGAGGCUUUCUAUAUAGUAUAGAUCGCCUUUAUAAAAUUAGUUUUAAUUUUAUAAUAUUAAUUAUUAAAAAUUAGAGUCUACGUAUGUAAUAUUUAUGGCAAUUUUUUUAUAGUUGAGGAGGGGGUUGGGAGGAGAAAUCAUUCUGUGCACCGGGUGUAUACUUAUAUCUUAUACACCGUGUUAAUAUCUCUAUUGUUUAUAAUAUUUUGUACAUAAAUUUUUUUAUAUGGUGUAUCUAUUAAAGAGUAUUUUGGUUUUAAAAUAUUAAUAAUUAAAAAAAUAGGUUUGAUGCAUGUGAUAGUUAAUAGGUAGCUUACUUGUCCCCUCAUGUUAAUUUAGUCAUUUUGAUUUAUAUAUAUAUUUUUUGAUUAAAUAGGGAUAUACCCUAUUUUAGAAAGCAAAGUAGACCUCGGACUGCGGUCUUAGAUGCAUACAUAGACUCGAGGGAGCGAGAAAGAAGAAAGAAGAAGCGCUACGGGAUUAGAUCAAAAUCAACUCUGGAACACAGAUUUCCAUAGUUCCGCUGAGUACAGAAACACUUCUUCUCAGGGUGUUGCUUUGGUAAGGACGAUCGUUGAAAAUUCUCUUGCUCCUCUCAUUCUACAGUUCCCAGCAGGCUGCUGCAAAACAAAAGUCAAAGUUAGUUUUAGAUAUUCCAGACAUCUUGCUUCUCAUUUGGCUCCACCGGUCUGCUAAAUUUCCAAAGAGGGAGGUCGCGAACUGUUGUGUAGUUGUGAAAUUGUGAAGCAGCCAAUUCCACAAAGAUCUUGCAUAAGUGCAGUGGAAUAAAAUAUGAUCCAGAGUUUCCGCGUAACGCAGAUAGAUGGCCCGUUCCAACCCCUUUUCUAGAGAAUUUCUACGGUAAGAACUUUAUUUCUUGCGGCUAGCCACAUGAAGAUUUUGAUUCUGAGGGGAAUCCUUAUUUUCCAAAGGAAAGAAAAUUUUGAGUCGUUUAUUCCGUCAUAUGUUAGGAAGUUGUAGGCGCUCUGAGCCGAAAGUAGUCCUGAAUUAGUCCAUCGCCAUGAUAAAUGUAAGAUUGAGAUUUAUGAUAAAUGUAAGAUUGAGAUUUUUUUUCUUUCUUUCUCAAUUGAGCUCAUUGCUCGCAUGCAUCUCUUGUCCUGCUCGCAACUUAGCAAGGUGUCAUGUUCUUAUGCUUUUUACCGGCAAACGGCCGUGCAGCGCUCGUCUUAUUCCUCAAAGAUGGCAAGCUUGCCUCAAUCUUGCUAGCUUUGGAUCUACUUAUUUUAAACCUAAGGUGCAUGAAAAAGAGAUAUACUUUCGAAAACAUUAAACUUACCAGGUGGUGCUUUCGAUUUGUAGAAAUUAUAUUACUUAGGGAUCGUUUGAUUAGAUGUAAUUAUAAAUACAGUGUAGUUAGAGAUGCAUGCAGUUGAAAAUAUAGCAGUUAUAAUUACAUGCAUUAUAUUUUGUUGGAUGUAGUAAAAAACGCUACAAUUACAAAUAAUUAUUUGGUUGCAUGCAAUUGAGAAAUAAUUUUUAAAAUUUUAUCAUUAUAUAUAUAUAUAUGAUGAUGAGAUUACUUCUAAUGCAAAAAAAAAUUUAAGAGGUAAGAUUACCUUUUGUUUAAAUUUACUUUCUUCAACUGCUGCAGUUGGAACUGCGGCCAAUUUGGGCGUAGUUUCAACUGCUACAGUUGGACCUCCUCCUGCAAUUCCUACUGCAGUAGUUGGAGUUAAAUAUAUAAACUUAACACCAAAUUUGUAUUUGCAUGCAGUUACAAUUGCCGACAUGCAACCAAACGGCCUCUUAGAGAAAUAUAGAGUACAAUAUUCUCAAAGUCCUGAGCUUGUGAAAAAUCUAAAACUCCUUAUUCAUAGAUUUAUUGUCAUUAUUACAAAUAAAAAUUUACUAUUCAUUGCUUCUAUAGAAUCGCCCCGUUUUGUUCGGAGGAUAAGCGGGGAUAACGAAAGUUAUCCCCGCUAUUCCGCCAAACGGAAAAAUUUAUUGCCGGGAUAUUUUAUUCCGGUCAAAUCUUGCUAUUCUCGGUUAUCUCAGAAUAGCAAAAGAUUUGCUAUUCCAACAUUUUGAUGGAAUAGUGCUAUUUCAAUACAUAGUUUCAAACUUAAUUAAAAUUAUAAAUUGAAUUAAAAUUAAAUUAUAUAAAUAUAAUAUAUUAUAUAUUAUAAUACAUUAUUUUUAUUAUAAAAUUAUUAAUUGUACUAUGUUAAUAAAUAUUAUUUAUAUUUAAAUAUUAUAAUAAAUUUUACAAUAAAUUAUAUUUAAAUAUUAUAAUAAAUUCUUUUUAUUAAAUUUAAGUUUAAGUAUAAUUUUAAAAAAAAUUAUAAAUUUAUUAUAAUAAAUUAUUUUUAUUAAUUGUUCCCACCCCUAUUCUUAUUUUAAAAUUUUAAAAAUUAAAAAUUUAAAAUUUUAAAAUUUAUAAUUUAUAAUCUCAAAAUUAAAGUUUAUAAUUUUAAAUUUUAAACUUUAAAUUUUGAUAUUUUAAAUUUUUAAAAUUUUAAAUUUUAUAUUUUAUAUUUUUCAAAUUUAAAUUUGAUUUUAAAUUUAAAGUUUGAAUUUUAAAAUUUAAAAUUUUGAAUUUAAAAUUUGAGAUUUUAAAUUUCAAAUUUUAAAAUUUCAAAAUUUAAAUUUUAAAUUUAAAAAUAUAAAUUUAAAAUUUUAAAAUUUUAAAUUCAAAUAUAAUAAAAGAGUAAUAUCAUUAUUUUUUAUUUAUAAAAGCUCACUAUCCUUCGUAUUCCAUCUUACUUAACCAAACGCUAUUUUUUUUAUUCUCAGAAAUAACCCAAUUUUCAUCCAAAUGCAAAAUUGAUCUAAUCCCCGCUUAUACCUCAAUUUAUACCUAUCCCUGAAAUAGCCACUUUUUGCUUAUCCCCGAACCAAACGAUACUAAGUGGCUUCUAGGCUUUCGUCUGUAGCUCCUAGGUUUACUGUCUAUAUUUAUUCUUAGAAAAUCUUUGAGUUGCCCAUGAUGCUUCAGCUCCCUUUCCGCAUGUUGUAACUUUGGCUCCCAAAAUAGCUGCUGAAAGAUUUUUUUUUUUUGAGAAUAAGGUACUGCUUCAUUCAAUUAGAAGAUAAAUUCGGCUAUAAAUUGAGGCAGUCAAAAACGAUCCCAAGAAUCCUUGAGAGUUCGGCUCUUUGUAAGCACACAACCUAGUGCAUGUUUAGAUUUUUCAAAAAUUCUUCUGUUAUGCUCUAACCAGAUAACCCAUCAUGUGGCAGUGAUGGUCGCCAACUCUCUAUUCACCCGUGCACUUCUUUUGAGGCUACUCGCUUCCCAAAUCUCCAUUGAGGAUGAGCAAUUACUAAGAAAGAGUUGUUUGGAAGUAAUCCUUUUAGCAUAGCUGUAGCCUGAGGGUAGCUGGAGAAGAGAUGAUCCACCAUCUCUUUCUCUUCCAGACAUGAAACACCAUUCUCGUCCCCACUCUAACCCCUUUUUAGAAGGUUGUCCACAAUGAGCACCCUUUUUCAACGCUAACCACAUGAGAGUCUUGACUUCGAGGGGAGAUCUAAUCUUCCACAAGUGUGCAAAGCUCUUAGCUCUAACUCCACCAUCCUGAUGAAAAUUGUAUACUAAUUUGACCGAGAACUUUUCGAAGCAGGUCCAUCUCUAUCUUAUGACAUCCUGUGUAGUAUAUAGACAGAUCUCAUAAAUUUACUCCAUUAGAGUCAAAAGUUAGUCACUUUCUAGCUAAGGGUGAAUUCUGACAAAAUCUUACGCCAACUCCAACCGUUCCCGUCCCAACAAUCCUUCACUCUGUAAUUUCUACAUGUGAUUUUCUCGAAGAUACAUGGGUAUAAAGUUCGCAAUGAGGCUCGUUCAUACCAGAUGUCAGUUCAGAAAUUUAUGAUCUGUCCAUCCGCAAUUGACUAAGACACUCCACAUUGAAAAAUCUCCUUGGUCGCUAGAACGCUCCUCUACCAGAACGAGCGGGGUUUGAACGAUACACCUUCCGCAAGCGGUUUCCUCCGUAUAUAAUAUACUCCGUCAAUCAGUGCACUCCACAGAUGAUUUCUUUCAGAGAAAAACUUCCAUCACCAUUUGGGCAAUGAACUUACCCUUGCUACUGAACGAAUUUUAAAUUAUACUCUUUUGAAUUUGUGUCACUAUCAAAGACAGACGAACAAUAGAUCUUACGAUGUGCGUGGCAAGAGACUCCAGAUCUAAAAGCUAAAGUGAGUUUAUAAUAAAUAUGGAAUGUUGCAUUUGAAGAAGAUAAUGUGUUAAUUAUAAGUGAUAGUCUGUUAAUAAACAAGCCGAGCAUGACCAAGCAAAAAUUUUUUAAGAAAUGCCCACAAAGUUACAAGCAUACCACAACAAAAACACAUAACAAAAAGCUUAGAGAGAGAGAGAGAGAGAGAGAGAGAGAGAGAGAGAGCUACACCUUUUCCCAAUACAACACUUAACACAAUUUAGGCCAUGUUUGGUUCUAUACAAAAAUAAGCUGAAAACAAAUUUUCAGUUGAAAAAUAGUUUUCAAGUGUUUGGUUGGGUGUCAAAUAAUUUUUCAGGGAAAUCUAGUUUUACAUAUUUGGAGAAAACCCUCCAUUUGUUUUCCGCAGGCGAGCGACGAAAAACGAAAAGCGCGAAAGAAAAAGCACGGCUCAUGACCACGCUUUUGCGCGGUCCACGAGGUCCGCAUCACCUCGUGGACCGCGUGAGGCAAGGAGAUAUAUAUAUAUAUAUAUAUAUAUAUAUAUAUAUAUAUAUAUAUAUAUAUAUAUUCACCCCGUCUGGAGAGGAGUGCGCCAGGUGCUCCACCUCGCCUGGAGCACCUGGCGCGGAAAAAAAGAGAGGCGCAGCACGAGUUGCGGCACGUUCCAGGUAGAGGGGCGCAACACGCGUUACGACACACUCCAGGUAGCUAGUACGUNNNNNNNNNNNNNNNNNNNNNNNNNNNNNNNNNNNNNNNNNNNNNNNNNNNNNNNNNNNNNNNNNNNNNNNNNNNNNNNNNNNNNNNNNNNNNNNNNNNNNNNNNNNNNNNNNNNNNNNNNNNNNNNNNNNNNNNNNNNNNNNNNNNNNNNNNNNNNNNNNNNNNNNNNNNNNNNNNNNNNNNNNNNNNNNNNNNNNNNNNNNNNNNNNNNNNNNNNNNNNNNNNNNNNNNNNNNNNNNNNNNNNNNNNNNNNNNNNNNNNNNNNNNNNNNNNNNNNNNNNNNNNNNNNNNNNNNNNNNNNNNNNNNNNNNNNNNNNNNNNNNNNNNNNNNNNNNNNNNNNNNNNNNNNNNNNNNNNNNNNNNNNNNNNNNNNNNNNNNNNNNNNNNNNNNNNNNNNNNNNNNNNNNNNNNNNNNNNNNNNNNNNNNNNNNNNNNNNNNNNNNNNNNNNNNNNNNNNNNNNNNNNNNNNNNNNNNNNNNNNNNNNNNNNNNNNNNNNNNNNNNNNNNNNNNNNNNNNNNNNNNNNNNNNNNNNNNNNNNNNNNNNNNNNNNNNNNNNNNNNNNNNNNNNNNNNNNNNNNNNNNNNNNNNNNNNNNNNNNNNNNNNNNNNNNNNNNNNNNNNNNNNNNNNNNNNNNNNNNNNNNNNNNNNNNNNNNNNNNNNNNNNNNNNNNNNNNNNNNNNNNNNNNNNNNNNNNNNNNNNNNNNNNNNNNNNNNNNNNNNNNNNNNNNNNNNNNNNNNNNNNNNNNNNNNNNNNNNNNNNNNNNNNNNNNNNNNNNAAUAUAAAAUUAAGCUUUUAAAAAAUUUAAGAAAAAAUAGAGAUAGAUAUUAUAUUAUAGAUGUGAUAGAUAUGAUAUAUAUUUUAGUACAUAAAAUUUAAAGAUAUGAUAUUAUAUUAUUCACAAUAGAUAUUCUCCUGUUGGCAAAUUUUUUUUCUGUUGUAGAAAUAAAGAGGGAUUAAAAGUUGUUUAAUUCUGUUAUUUUUUUACGUACGGAAAGAGGAAUCAAGUUGUUUUUCAAAUCCCGCUAAAAAAUGGGUCUAUCGACAGACCGAAAUUUGAAAUACGUGCUUUUAUAUAUAGUAUAGAUAUAUAUAGAGUCCGGCUACUAUGCUAUUAAUAGUACGAAACAUUUGGUGCUACUAAGUUUUCCGCCGUUAGAUCUACCCUUUUGAUCAUUUUCACCCGUUAGAUCAUACUAUUCAACCAACCACUCACUCAGCCGUAGGGGGCCACAUCAUUCUAACCGCACAUCUCUUAAUCCAAUGGCCAAAAACUUGGUAGCACCAAUGACUUGGUGCUAUUAAUAGUAUAUUAGCCUAGUUCUCUCUCUCUCUCUCUCUCUCUCUCUCUCUCUCUCUCUCUCUCUCUCUAUAUAUAUAUAUAGAGCAGGGCUGUUGUGCUCCCAGGAGCACGAAGGCCUCCGUGCUCCUGAGCCAUUUUCGAUGAUAAAAUUUUCGAAUCGACGAUCGACUCCGUUAGACUUGAUCUAGCGUAUUUAAAGUUUCUGAAAAAUAAUUUUUGCGAUUUUUCGAUAUCAUUUACCUAGCAAUCGAAAGGAUUCAAAAUCAAUAAUUUUAACGGCUGAAAAUAAAAAUCCUAUAAAAAGUGGUGAUAUAGCACUAAAAUUUUCGAUCAGAAAUAUUGAUCUUGUUAUAGAUAGUAUAAAAAAUUUUGUAUUAAAAUUUCAUAUGAUUUGAAUACUUCUACACUGUUAAACUUGAAAACAGCAGAUAUCAACCAUUAAAAAUUAUGGAUUUUGAAUCCUUUCGAUCACUAGGUAAAUGAUAUAAAAAAAUCACAAAAAUUAUUUUCUAGAAAUUUCAAAUGCGCUAGAUCAAGUCUAAUNAGUCCGGCUACUAUACUCUUAUGAGUACGAUUGCCCUCGUACUUAUAAAUCAUUUUCGAUGGUAGAGCUUCCAAAUCGACGAUUCAUAUCGUUAAACGUUAUUUACAACAUUAAAAACUUAUAGAAAUCAAAUUUUAUAAUUUUUUAACAUCAUUUACCUUACGAUCAAAAGGUCACAAAAUUGAUAAUUUUAACGGCCGGUAUGGAAUACUUUCUAGUUUAACGGUGUAAAAGAAUUGGAAUUUGUUGAAUUUUUGAUAAAAAAUUCUAUUCACUACCAAGAUAAUGAUCAAUAAUUUCGAUCUUAAAUUGAAGGAUACGAUCAUCUAUUUUUAGGACGUCGUUCAAUUUUGACCGUUUAUUUUAUGCUUGCUUGAUGAAUUUUAUUAUGAUUUUGAAAAUUUACGAAAUUUAUUUUUUAGAAGUUUCAAAUACUCUAGAUCAUAUUUAACGGAGUGGAUUGUCGAUUCGGAAGCUCCAUUAUCAAAAACAACUUAUGAGUACGGGGGCUCCAAUACUCAUAAUAGAAUAAUAGCCACGGCCUAUAUAUAUAAUAAUUUUUUAUUUAUAACUUUUUUUUUUCUUUUCUUUUCAACCAAACAAUCGUAACGAAAAAUUACUUUUCUUUUCCUAUAAACCAAACGCUAAAACGUAAAAUUUAUUUUCCUCCAAAAAUUUUGUUUCCACCGAAAUUUUUUUUUUCUGUAGUUUUACGAGGAACCAGACAGCCCCUUAUACUGGCCAAGGAAGGAAGAAUGUUCGCUGUAAAUAAAGUUUUGCCCUUUUCGUUGCCCUUUGUUGGUCAUCUGAAGAUAACCAUGUUGUUACCUUCCCUCCGGCACCGGACCUCGAGUCGAGGGUGCGCCCAGCACCCGCGUAUCCGCGCACCACGUCGACCAUGGAUUGCGUCUGUCAGGCACCAACAUCAAGGUUAAUUUUGAUUUUUAAAUUUUAAAUUUAAAUUUUAAAUUUUAAAUAUUCAAAUAUUAGAUUUUAAAUUUGAAAUUAAAAAUUGAGAUUUCGAUUUUAAAUUUUAAAUUUUUUAAUUUAUAUUUUAAAUUGAAGUAUCAAAUUUUAAUUUUAAAUUCAAAUUUAAAUUUAAAUUUAAAUUUAAAUUUGAAUUUAAAAUUUAAAUUUAAACUCAAAUUUAAAUUUAAAUUUAAAUUUUAAAUUUUAAAAAAUUUUAAAAUAAAAUUCAGUAAAAUAUUAUUAUUUGCAAAUAGUGAAAUUUUUUUGCUAAACAGAUUUAAUUCAUAAAAAUUACUUCUUAUAUAAACUCAGUCAAACACUUCACACCUUGGAACCAAAAUUAAAAUUUUAAAUUAAGAAAUCAUUUUUCUACAAUCUAUAGGCCAAACGAGCUAUAAAAUAGUCAUUGAGAUGGGCAAUAUGAAUCUAAACGUUUCCACGCGGUGGAAAAGUUUAUAUUGUGACUUGCCGAGGGGAAAAUCUAUUGUGUAAUAUUAACACCACAUUAUCUAUUCCAGUCAAUCAUAUCUUUUCUUUGGAGACAAAAAAUAUAAUACAAAUAUUUUUUCAAAAAAAAUUACUAUGGAAUGAAUGAAUUUUAGAAAAACUUUUUGACUGACUCAUGACACCACAUCACCCACAUAAAUGUUGUAUUCCAGAAUUUUUCGUUGCUGAGAGGCUUUGUGAAAAGUAAAAACUCUUAAAUUAUUGGCUGUUCAAUACUGCCAGGUCAACCCUUUCGGUCAUUGAUAGCUAAAGCCACGACAAAUAAGCUUCGGUUUGAUUGUGAGUUCCUGGGAUGGUCCGCACGGUGGAAACGUUUACAUUGUGAGUUGCUGAGAGGGUUUGUAAAAACUCUUACGUUUACGUUAUUGGCUUUUCAAUAUUGCCGGGUCAACCCUUUCUAGCUAAACCCACGACAAAUAAGCUUCGGUUUGAUUGAGGCUUCACUUUCCUAUCUUCUUUAAUUUUGUGUUCAUCUGAUCAUUUGAGGAAGAGCUAGAGCACUCGGUAUACGUUAAACAUGGCAUUGGCCUUGGUAGCUGAAUCCGCGGCGUCGAUCGUAAUCGAGAAGGUGAUCAACACAGCCUUAUCCUACGACGAGGAGUGCGGCGGGCCGAGUAACAUGCAGGACGAGAUCCAGAGGCUUCAGCAGGCCCUUCCGCAGAUCCAAGCGAUCUCGGCCGCCGUCGAGGGGAUGCAGAAUGUCAGUACUGAGCAAAACAAGGUGCUGGACGCGUGGCUGUGGCAGCUCAGAGAUGCCGCUGAGCGAGCAGAGGACGUGUUCGAUGAGCUGGAGUACUACAAGCUGGAGAAGAGAGUGCAAGCGCGCGGCGGUAGUGUACUCAACUUUAAACGGAAGUUUACUGAUUUUGCUAAGAAUAUGUUCGGAAAUGACACCUUGAACAGGUUGAGGGAGGCCGUGAAGGCGUUAGAUAAGGUUGCAGCAACUGUAGGACCUUUCCUGCAGCUCGCUUCGCAACUGUACGAUUCGAAUGUUAGGUGUCGACAAGAAGACGAGCUACGAAAUGCUCGCGCGACUAGCUCCUUUUUAACUGAGAGCAUUAUUUACGGUCGAGACGAGGAGAGGGACGUGAUAGUUGGAUGGUUAACUAAACCGACACGUGACAAGCUGGAGAAUACCUCUGCUGCUGCAGGAAAUGUCUCGGUUUUUGCGAUCGUCGGGAUGGGUGGGAUGGGAAAAACUGCGCUCACGCAGUUCGUCUACCAUGAUAAAAGAGUACAACGGUGCUUCGACUUGGUUAUGUGGGUGUGCGUUUCUGAUAGAUUUGACGCGGCUAUGCUGACGGUAAAGAUCUUAGAAGCGGCGAUGGUUAGGGAUAGUCUUGGUGACAAGAGCCUUAACACGAUUCAAGAGAUUCUUAAAGAGAAGCUUAUCUCCAAGAAGUUUCUUCUUGUGCUGGAUGAUGUUUGGAAUGAUAAUAAAAUACUUGAAUGGGAUAAAUUGGUGGCUCCUUUAAAAUUCGGCAGAAAAGGAAGCAAGAUUCUCUUGACAACGCGAAUGGAUUCAGUGGCGAAUGCAGUAGCCAGAGUUCUACAAGGUAGAAAAGAAUCUUUAAAAUUGAGUGGGUUAAAAGAAGAUGAUUUUAUACUGCUUUUCAAUAAGCAUGCCUUUGCCGGAGCGAACAUUGACGACCACAGAAACUUAGAAUUGAUCGGUCAGCAAAUAGCAAAGAAGCUUGGGGGAUGCCCGCUGGCAGCAAAAAUUUUGGGAGGAUGUUUGAACUCUUGCAUGGAUGAAAAAUAUUGGAGGAGAAUUUUGAAUGAAAAUUUUCUGAAUUUGCAAGAAAGUGAGGACAACAUUAGGAUGAUUCUGAGAUUGAGCUAUCAGCAACUGCCGAUAAGCUCGCAAAUUUGCUUCAGAUACUGCAGUAUCUUUCCUAAGGAUCAUGAAUUCGAAAAGAAUGAGCUUAUCUAUUUGUGGAUAGGUUCUGGGUUGAUCAAGCAACCAACACAUGAAAAGCGAAGCCUAGAGGAUAUCGGAGAGGAGUACUUAAACCAUCUAGCAAGAAGAUCCCUUUUUGAUAUCAAAAUAAGUGAGGGAGCAUUUGGCCUUAAACAGAGUUAUGUCAUGCAUGAUCUGUUGCAUGAUCUAGCUCAAUUUGCCUCUUUAGGGGAAUGCUUGAGAAUCGAAGGUGAUGGUUCCAGAGAAAUUCCGAAAACGAUCCGCCACAUAUAUGUCAAAAGGGUAAACCCUCUUAUGAUCUCCCACCUGAAGAACUUACGCACCCUUUUUAUUCAUUUAAACAAGGACUAUGAUGUAAUAGUAUUUAAUGAGGUUCUAAAAAAGUUAAAAAGCUUACGUUUACUACAAGUGACUGCAGAUAACUAUAAGCUUCUGGAUGAAGUUGGUAACCUCAUUCACCUCCGCUACCUCUCUCUCACUCCAUGGAUCGACGAAGUAUUUAAGAGAUAUUCGCUACCUCAAUCUAUAUGUGGACUCCAAUCUGUGUGUAGACUCUAUCACCUCGAAGUAAUGAAGCUCCCAGCAACGAAAACUGAAAUAGAUGAUUCAGCGCUGGUUGGAAUGAGCAAUCUAGUUAAAUUGAGGAUGCUAGACAUUCCCGCUCGUGUAACAGCCAAGAUUCCUUGGAUCGGCAAAGUAACAUUACUGCAGAACUUAGAUUAUUUCUAUGUCCGCGAGGAGUGUAGCUACAAGAUCUGUCAAUUAAAAAACCUGCGAAAUCUUCGAAAACUAUGCAUUGAUGGUCUGCAAAAUGUAAGGAGUCCACAAGAGGCUAUAGAUGCCAACUUGAUUGAGAAAGAAAAUCUUGACAAAUUGUCACUAGUUUGGCCUAAGAAUCGCGCUGGUCGUUUAGAGGUAGAUGGGCCACUUCUUGAUAACUUAAAACCACACACCAAUCUCAAGGAACUGGAAAUUAAAGGAUACGCCGGAGUUAGAUCUCCGCAUUGGAUGACAGCGCCAUCUCUUUCUAACAUAACAUCUAUCAAUCUACACGAUUGUAAGAGAUGGGAGAACCUCUCACCUUUUGGGCAACUUCCUUUGCUCAAGUUUCUGUGUCUACGACAUAUGCCGGCUAUAAGGAAAUUAUCGUGUUCAAGUCGUGUUGGUGGUUGCGCCUUUCCAUCGCUGAAGGAGCUAAAAUUGUAUGACAUGCCAAACUUGGAGCUGUUCGAAGGCGAGCACCUGUUUCCUCACCUUAAUAAGUUUGAUAUUAGUUCUUGUCCUAGCUUGAAGGGUUUGCCUGCUUUGCCUCUUACUCUGAAUCAACUGGACAUUUGGACGGUCGGAAUGACAUCUCUUCCGAUGAUGCAACAAGAUUGCGGUCGUGGCGAAGGACGAGUAUCCUGCUCACCAUCACAUCCGGCACUUUCUUAUCUACGUAUUGGUAAGUGCCCAAACCUCACAUCUCUGGAUGGAUUCAUUUUGCAGCAACAAUAUUUUCCAGCCUUGGCGAGUUUAUCGAUUAAAGAAUGCAAAAAUCUAAGGCUUCUGCCGAAGUUCUUCUUCCAAAAACUUCCCUCCCUCAAGUAUUUGAUUACAGAAAUGUGUCCCAAUCUAACGACACACAGGAUUCUAGACAAUCGAUUCCCCGAGACACUUGAAAAGCUCACUCUUGAAUCUAGCGGUGAUCUCGGUUUGUCGCUGGUCGAGGCGCCAAUACUGGCCUUUCUGACUGACUUGAAGAUUGACGGUUGCGCGAGCAUAACAUCCUUUCCUCCGGCAGAAGUUUUGCCCAGGUUGAUGAAUCUCUACAUCCGGAAUUGUAAAGAACUGUCAUCAUUGGAUGGGCUACAUGCUCUCCCCUCGCUCGAAUCCUUGUACAUUGGAGGAUGCGACAAGCUCAUCGAACUUUCACUGAUGCAACCGCCAAUAGGCCUCGAUAUGGUGUCGCGCCCUUCAAUAGAGCUUCGCGCUCUUGAAAUCGACCAGCAAGCUCUGUUGCUCAUCGAACCACUGAGAAGCCUCAACUCUGUUUGCUCAUUCAUUAUACAGGAUGGUGCAGAACUCACAUCCUCUACCGAGACAUGGCUGCUGCAAAACCAAAACUCCCUUCAAAUUUUAAAGAUAUGUAAAGCUUUAUCUCUUCAAUCCUUUCCCCCUAUUCUGAUGCAUCUUCGAUCCCUGUGUGCUCUGAGCAUAUAUGAUGCUCCUUUGCUCCAGUCGAUUCCAGAACUGCCCGCCACAAUGGAAUUUCUAACAAUUACAGGUUGUCAACCUGAACUGAAGGAGUACAUAAAAGGCUCUGGAAAAUUUGCCAAUGUUCCUUAUGUGAGGAUCACUGAAGAUUGAGUAUGUCACAUCUCUUUACUACUAUCUCUAACUCCCAGCAUAAUUUCUCGGUCAAAUCUCUCUACAACUUCUUAAAGGACGGAGCGAUUAGAGAUCACUUGAGCACUCAUAUUUGGAAAUUCAAAAUUCCGGUGAAGGUCAAGAUCUUCGUCUGGCUGCUUAUGCGAAAUAGAGCACUCAUGGCAGAUAACCUUCUUAAGAGGGGUUGGAGUGAGGGCCACCUCUGCAUGUUAGAAGUUGGAUUGCUGGAUUAGUUGAAUUUCUCUUAAAGGAAAUAAAAAACGAAGGAUUAGUUGAAUCAUUCACUACUGCAUUUUUUUUUUAUCUAAUUAUUUAGCACUUUUGCAUAAAUCCUAUAGUUAGUUUGUAUUAUAGAGUGUUCUCCUUUCCUCAUACAUCUACAAUGGAUAAAUUCAUCUUGUAUUCUCUUUUGAGAAGAUACAACUUUUUUAUUUUUUAUAUUUUUUUUUUUCUUUUUCGUAUGUUGAUUCGUGUUAAGUUGCUUUCUAAUUUAUUAUUUAUUAUUGACGUUAUGCUGCUAUUUAAGUUGCAUCAGUGUUACUUUUCCAAACUAGAUAGUUGCGCAGGCCACUGUAUUGUAUAUUUGUUUGAUAUUCUAAAAUGAUUAUUUCAGAUUUGAUAGGUUUCUAACCAUAGAAAAUUUUAUCACUGUUUUUUACAAAAUUACUUGGAACUCUAAUAGAAAAUUCUACUUAACACCAAUAAUAAAUCAAUACUUAUGAUUUAAAAUUUGAGUUUUUUAUUACUUUUUUUAUAAAAUUUUUAUUUUCAGCAGUUUAUUUUGAGGCUAAGUUGUUUUAAAUGACGCAGCUUUCAAAUCGACGAUCGGUUCUCUUAGACUUGAUCUACACUAUUAAAAAUAUUUAAAAAUUAAAUUUUAUAAUUUUUCGACAUUAUUUGGCUAGUUAUCGAAAGGUCUUAAAAUUGAUAAUUUUAAUGGUAGAUGUGAUGCGUUUAUGAAUUUAUCGGUGUAAAAGAAUCCAAAUCUGAUAAAAUUUAUAUAAAAUUUUUUUUUCACUAUUUAGACUAACAUCAGUAUCUCUGAUUUUAAAUUCAAGUCUUUUAUUAUUAUUUUUUAUAAAAUUUUUAUUUUUAAUUAUUUAUUCUAGACUACUCGUUUAAUAAUUCAAAAUAUUUACUAUAAAAAAUAAUUUAUGAGUACGAACCGCUGUAUACUUGGAAGAAUCCACACUCACGCCAAAAAGAGAAAGGACAAGGGAGAAAUAAUGCUAUUGCUUUACAGCCUGUUGAAUAGCGAUAUUUUUGUCACAUGGGAAAGCAUCCACUUUCUACAUAUUAUCUUUUGUUGGCUUGAUUAAACUGUGCUAUCAUAUAAUUUAUUUACAUUUGAUUAAAGUUUAUUUAGCUCUCAACCUUUUAAGCGUGACGUUUAAAACUUAAAAAAUCUUAAAAAAUAAAAAUUACAACUAAUUAAAGUUUAAGAAUUAGAAGACGUAAAUAAAAAUUACAACUAAUUAAAGUUUGAGAAUUAAAAGACGUCUUCAAGAUAGGAAUUUGGGUGGGUGACAUGAGAUUUUCAACGUGUUGGGCCCCACACGGUGAAAAACAACGGACUUUGUUAGUCGCAGAGAAGUUACGCAGAAACUCCUACAUUAUUGGCUGUUCAAUACUAUUGGGUCAUCCCUUUUGGUCUUUCAUUGUGUUCAUCUGAUCAUUUGAGAAAGAACUAGAGAGCUAGCUACACAGGAAACAUGGCUUUGGCCUUUGUGGCUCAGUCCGCGGCGUCGGUCGUAAUCGAGAAGCUGAUCAGCACGGCCGUGUCCUACGUCGGGACAUGCGGCGCGGGGCCGAGCGCCAUGCAGAACGAGAUCCAGAGGCUUCAGCAGGCUUUUCCGCGGAUUCAAGCAAUUUUGGAUAUGGUCGAGGGGGGGCAGACAGUCGAUACAAAGCAAAACAAGGGGCUGGACGCCUGGCUGUGGCAACUCAGAGACGCUGUGGAUCAGGCGGAGGACGUGCUCGAUGAGAUGGAGUACUACAAGCUGGAGAAGGCAGUGCAAGCUGAAGAUAACAAGGUACUGUUGGGUCUGGAAUUUUAUUUAAUUUUACAGAAAUUUUAUUAAAUCAACAAACAAAUAAAUAUUAAAUUAAAGACGAAAUUAAAUUAAAAGAUAAAGGGUUUGGAAAAAUAGCUAGAUGAGACGUGUAAUGCACUAUCCGAGAGUACUUUAGUCCCUCUACGUGCUUGUCUUCGUCUAGUUGCUUAGGGGUGUAAUAUGGACCAGGACGCACGGGCCCUUACUUUAGUCCCUCUACGUGCUCACAUUAACCGGGCCAAAACAGGCUAGGGCCCGGCCUGGCCUAGCCCGAACCCGAGCUACCUAGCCUCGGGCCCGGACCGCCCCUUUGGCCCAGGACGCACGGGCCGUCUCGGGCUGGACCGUGCUUCUGGCCUGCCUCUUAAAGAAUUUAUUUUUAAAUUUUUUUAAAAAAAUUAGUAUAAAAUAUAAAAAUAUAAGCAAUAAAUAUUUUAAUUUAAAUUAAUAUUUUAAUUAAAUCAUUAAAAAUAAUUAUAACAUUGUAAAUUUUUAAUUUUUUUUAAAAAUAAAUAAAAUUAUAUUAUUUUUCUGAAAAAAAAAAAAAAGAGAUGGGUUUUGGUCCAAUGGACCAAAUAACUCCCGAGAGGUCCUCGGGAAGAGCUCAGACCCUAAGGGCCUUGGGGUCCCAGCCGAGCUGGCCCGGCUGGCACGCGGGCCGUGCCGUGUCUUACCGCCUACGUCUUCUCAGCCCGGCACGGCCCAGGCCCAUUCCGAGCCGUGCUGGGCCGUGGGGACUCAGAGCGGAGGCCCAGCAUGGCCCAAAAUCUCAGGCCGGCCUAGUCCGGCACAGGGGCUACCGUAUCUGUGCCGAGCUGUAACCCGGCCCGAGGCCGUGCUAGGUUGAACGGCCCACGUGCCGCUCGGCCCGUUUUACAUCCCUAUAGUUGCUCUAGCAACACAACACCUCAGAUUAUCCCGAUCUGCUUGAUUGUACGAGUCUCAAAAAAGUGCUCGAGUGACUGUCAAUUCAGCAUUUUUUUUUAGUCGGCAUUUUUUUUUAGUUAGGAUCUGGUAUAUAUCUUUGUUUUAUUGUCUUUUUUAUAAUAUAUAAAGUUGACUGUCGAAAGAACAUUGUAGGAUGUUCCACUAAAGAGGAAUACAUGAUCCCGCAUCUCGUAAAAAACGGUGUACCCCGUUUUUCGGAUAGAGGAGAGAGAGAAUACGUCGCGUAACUUCCUCAUAUUAAAUAUAUUGUAUUUAAAUUAAGUAUUAAAUUAAAUCUUUUAAUUAUCUAUUUGAUUUAAAUUAAAAUUUUAACUUAAACUAAUUCCAACAGGUACAACAAGGUACAGCACUCACCUUAAAAAGGAAGUUUGCUGAUUUUGCUAACAAUAUCUUCGGAAAUGACGACACCUUGACGAGGUUGAGGGAGGCCGUGAAGGCGUUAGAUAAUGUUGCUGCUGCUAGUGAAACUUUACAUCAACUUGUUUGGCAGCUAUACAAUUCGGAUGGUAAGCGUCAACAGGAAAAUGAGAUACGAAAUGUCCGUGAGACUACCUACUUAUUAACUGAGGAUACGAUGUUUGGUCGAGACAGGGAGAAGGAAAGGAUAGUUGAAUGGUUAACAAAACCGACAAGCGAUGAGCCGGAGAAUGCUUCUGCAGCUGUCGGAAAGGUCUCGGCUUUUACGAUCGUUGGCAUGGGUGGGUUGGGAAAAACCACUCUCGCGCAGUUCAUCUACCACGAUGAGAAAGUGCGGCAUUGUUUCGACUUGGUUAUGUGGGUGUGUGUUUCCGAUCAAUUUGAUGUGACUAUGCUGACAAGAAAGAUCUUGGAAGCGGCAAAGGUUGGGGAUAGCCCUGGCGACAAGUGCUGCCUUAAUACAAUUCAAGAUUUUCUUAAAAAGGAGCUGAUCUCGAAGAAGUUUCUUCUAGUGUUGGAUGAUGUUUGGAAUGAUGAUAAAAUACUUGAAUGGAAUAAAUUGGUGGCUCCUUUAAAAUUCGGAAAGAAAGGAAGCAAGAUUCUCUUGACAACGCGAAUGGAUUCAGUGGUGAAAAGAGUAGCCAAUGUUUUACAAUGUAAAGAAGAAUUUUUAAAAUUGAGUGGGUUAGAAAAAGAUGAUUUUAUGCAUCUUUUCAAUACGCAUGCAUUUGCCGGAGAGGAUAUUGACCAUCAUGUAAACCUAAAAUUGAUUGGAGAGCAAAUAGCAGAGAAGCUUGGAGGAUGCCCGUUGGCAGCAAAAAUUUUGGGCGGAUAUUUGAACUCUCGCAUGGAUGAAAAAUACUGGAGAAAAAUUUUGAAUAAAAAUUUUCUAAAUUUGCAAGAAAGUAAGGAUAACAUUACGAUGAUUCUGAGAUUGAGCUAUGAUCAUCUGCUGGAAAGCUUGCAAAUUUGCUUCAGAUACUGCAGUAUAUUUCCUAAGGAUUAUGAGUUCAAGAAGAAUGAGCUUAUCCAUUUGUGGAUAGGUUCUGGGUUAAUCAAGCAACCAACACAUGAAAAGGAAAGCUUAGAGGAUAUCGGAGAGGAGUAUUUAAACCAUCUAGCAAGAAAAUCCCUUUUUGAUAUCAAAAUAAGGGAGUAUGGUUCUGAUUGUGAACAGCGUUAUGUCAUGCAUGAUCUAUUGCAUGAUCUAGGUCAGCUUGUCUCUUCAGGUGAAUGUUUGGGAAUUGAAGGUGAUGGUUCUGGAGAUAUUCCCAAAACAAUCCGCCACAUAUAUGUCCGCAUGAACAAGGUAAACCCUGAUAUGAUCUCCCAUCUCAAGAACUUACGGACCCUUAUUAUUUAUUUAAAUGAGAAUUUCACUUCAGUAGCUUUUAAUGAGGUUCUAAAAGAGUUAAAAAGCUUACGCUUACUAAGAGUGACUUUAUAUGGCAAUAAGUUUCCAGAUGAAGUUGGUAAACUCAUUCACCUCCGCUACCUCUCCCUCUCCCUCUCUUCACAGGCUUGCAGAGGAAAUGAGAUAUAUGUUCUACCUCAAUAUGUGUGCAGACUCUAUCACCUAGAAGUAAUCAAGCUUUCGGAAUCAAUUAAAAUGUAUCAUUCGGUAUGGGAUAGAAUGAGCAAUCUUGUUAAAUUGAGGCUGCUAAGUUCUCCUUAUGCUAGAAUGGACGAGAUUCCUUGGAUUGGCAAACUAACAUCACUCCAGGAGUUACGCAAUUUCCGUGUCCGUGAGGAGUGUGGCUAUAAGAUAGAUCAAUUAAAAAACCUGCAAAACCUCCGAAAACUAGGCAUUGAGAGUCUGGAAAAUGUAAGGAGUUCUGAAGAGGCUGCGGAUGCCAACUUGAUUGAGAAAAAAAAUCUUGAUAAAUUAUCACUCGAUUGGUCUACGAAUCGCUCUGGUGGUCUAGAGGUAGAUGAGCCACUUCUUGAUCAUUUAAGACCACAUACCAAUCUCAAGGAAUUAGAAAUUGAAGGAUACGCCGGAGUUAGAUCUCCACAUUGGAUGACAGCGAUAUCUUCUCUUUCUUAUAUAAGGUCUAUCAAACUAUCCAAUUGUGAGAGAUGGGAGAACCUCCCAACUCUUGGGCAACUUCCUUCACUCAAGUUUCUUAAUUUAGAAAACAUGUGGGCUGUAAAGAAAUUAUGGUGCUCAACAAGUGUUGGCAGUUACGCCUUUCCAUCACUAGAGGAUCUUGAAUUGAAAAGUAUGCCAAACUUGGAGUUGUUCGAAGGCGAGCACAUGUUUCCUCGGCUUAAUGAAUUGAAAAUAACUUUUUGUCCAAGGUUGAAGGGUUUGCCUGCUUUGCCUCUUACUCUAAGUCUACUGGGGAUUCUUGAGGUCGGAUUGACUUCUCUUCCGAUGAUGCAACAAGACAGCUGCAGUAGCGGCCAAGGACGAGCAUCGUGCUCAUCAUCAUCGCAUCCGGCACUUUCUUACCUAGGAAUUAGUGAGUGCCCAAACCUCGCAUCUCUAGAUGGAUUCAUGUCGCAGCAGCAAUAUUUUCCAGUCUUGAAGAGUUUAUCCAUUAUAGGAUGUGAAAAUCUAAGGCAUUUGCCGAGAAAAUUCUUCCAAAAACUUCCCCUCAUCGAGCGUUUGACUAUAGAAAUGUGUCCCAAUCUCACGACGCUCGGGCUUCUAGAUAAUCUAUUGCCCGAGACACUUGUAAGGCAGGAGUCAUUGCCAAAACUGACGUCCCGUCCUCGGCUGGAAGUUUAUCCACAAUUGUUGAAACUCCGCAUCCGGAAUUGUAAAGAGCUGUCGUCACUGGAUGGGCUACAAGAUCUCCCCUCGCUCAUUGAGUUGCACAUUGAAGGAUGCGACAAGCUCAUCAAACUUUCACUAGGCGUCACUAGUACCAGCCACACAGAUAUGGUGCUGCGCCCUCCAAUGGAGAAGCUUCGUGAUCUUAAAAUCCGGUACUGUAAAGAGCUGUCGUCACUGGAUGGGCUACAAGAUCUCCCCUCGCUCAAAUCCUUGACCAUUCACGGAUGCGACAAGCUCAUCGAAUUAGGCGUCACUAGUACCAGCCACACAGAUAUGGUGCUUAGUGCUCUUCACAUCGACCGGCAUGCUUACUUGCGUCUCGAACCACUGAGGAGCCUCAGCUCUGUUAGCAAACUCCGCAUAUUUGAUGGCACUGGAGAAUUCACAUCCCUCGACGAGCAAUGGCUGUUGCAAAACCGAAACUCCCUUGAACAGCUAGAAAUUUCUCGGGCCUCGUCUCUUGAAUCCUUACCAACCAGUAUGAUAGAUCUUCAAGCCCUGCGUCAUUUGACUAUAAUGAAUGCUCCUUUGCUGCGAUCGAUUCCAGAACUACCCACCUCAAUGGAAUCUCUAACAAUUUGGGCCCAUACACGGGAAUUGAAGGAGUGCAUAGAAGGCUCUGGAAAAUUCGCCAAUAUUCCUCACGUGGAGGUUUAUUAAAAAUCUCCUUCAGAAAAAGAUCAGGUAUGUCCCGUCCCUUUACUUCUCUCCAACUCUCUUAAAUGCAACAUUUUCUUCUCAAUAUUAUUUGCAUCUUAGGCUUGUUUGACCCUGCCUUCUUUUUUUUUUCGCCUACUUUCAGUAAUAACAGCCUCUAAUAAAGUUUUCUCAAAAACAGCCUCUAAUAAAGCAUUUGUUAGAUAAGUAUAUUUUUAUAUUAUUUAUUACCUUAAUUAUUAAUUAAAUAGAUUGAAAUAAAAAAUUUAAUAAUAAAAAUAAUUUAAAUUGGUUUAUGUACAACAUAAUUUUUUGUAAAAACUUAUUAAUAAUUAAAUUAUUUUAUAAAGACAUGUAUGGAAAAAAAAAGGAGAGAGGAAAUGAUUAAAAUAAUUUAAAANAAAAAUGAGAGAGAAAGCUAUUAAAAUAAUUUUUAAAAAAUAUAUAUAUAAAUUUAAAUUUUAGUUAAUUUAAUAUAUCUAUAUUAACUAUUAGUUAUUAGUUAUUUAAUUUUAUUUCAUAAAAAAUAAUUAUAAUUAUUUGAAUUUCGUCAAAUUUUAUAUAAAAUUUAAAAAACAUUUUCUUUAGUUAACAAAAAUUAAUCAUAAAAUCUUUAAAAAAAUCAGUCGAAAAAAUAAAUUUGAGGGGCCUAUUUCAAGCAUCCUAAAUAGUAGAGGUGUUCUUCACACGGUUUUUACCCUUCCUUUUUUUUUUGUAAGAAUUUAUAGAAACUUCCUAAUUUUUUGUUUUUGGACUUUAGUUAUUUUUGUUGGUUUAAAAGAGCUAACAUUUUACUCUAUAGUGGGAGGUCAGAUUGGACCUAGUCACAUUCGAAAUUGCAUGAGACUGGGUUGGACCGAGUCAUGUUCCAAAUAAUGUGAGUCUGGUUGAAUCGAGUCACAAUCAAGACCCGUGGGUGCUUUAUAUGUAUGCUUUAACUAAAUUGAUUGUGUAUAAAUUAACGGCGAGUGCGGAUAAACAAGAAAGUGACACUUCCGUCAAUGACAUUAGAGUUGGAUUGUUGGAUUAGUUGAAUUUUCUCAUCAAAGAGAAAAAAAAAAGAUUGGUUUAAUCAUUCAGUACUCCACAUUUUUUAUCUAAUAAUUUAGCAUUGGUUUAGUACAUUUUUUUUAUGUAAAAGAUUGGUUUAAUCAUUUAGUCGAGCUAUCGGCCCUUGGCCCGGUUAUUCUUAACAGGAAUGGCCGUGGAGCGAGUUACUGCCUGCUGGAUUUGAACGCCCAUCCGCUUGUCAGCAACUGUGAUCCGAAACCAGUUCUAGAAGAAGAGGGAGCCGACAAGACUGACAGUCAGCCAACUCCGACUUUAUGUUUUUAAGUGAAUUGGUUGUGUACAAAUUAACGGCACAUUUGCAUAAAUGAGAAAGUGACACUUUGAUCAAUAAUAUAUAUAUAUUUUUUUUUGAGAAAUAGAUAGCACACUUUGAUCAAUAAUAUUAAAAGUUGGAUUGUUGGAUUAGUUGAAUUUUCUCCUCAAAAAGAAAAAAAAAAAGGAAGAAAGAGGACUGGUUGAAUCAUUCAAUACUUCACAUUUUUUAUCUAAUAAUUUAGUACCUUUGCAUAAAUCAUAAAGUUAAUUUGUAUUAUAUAUUGUUCUCGUUUUAUUGUACAUCUGUGAUAGAUAUAUUCUUUUUUAGAGAUGAUACAAAGUUUUUUGCUUUUUCUCUUUUUUUAUUUUCUGUAUGUGUACUUGUAUUAAGUUGCUUUCUAGUUGCCUGAUCAUAUGUUGCCAUAGAAGUUGCAUCAGUGUUUUUUCCAAAGUAGGUAGUUGUGUAGGUCACGGUACAGUAUAUUUGUUUGAAAUUCUAAAAAUGUUUUUUUCCCCAGAUUGAUAGACCUUUAAGCUACGAAAAUUUUGUACAACCCUUUAUAUUAUGGAAUGCAUGAUUGAUAUGUUUAUGUUUCAAUAACAGCAUGAGCGUUUACUCACCUUCAAAUUUGGAGCUCGAUCAAAUUUAUGAUCAAGUGGAGCUGAUUGCAGAACAGAAAAUAUGAAAGCAUCGGCGGAGUUCUGCUUUGACAAAGUUCACCUUUUAUGUUGUAAUUGCUUGAUGAAGUUCAAAGUAGUUUAUUAUUAUGUUUUAUAUAUUUAUUUUCUCUUUAAGUUCCUUAAUUUACUGUGAUAUUCUGGUACUAUGUUUGAUAGCAGAUUUAUUAGCUUGCUUUCUUCUGCAGUCGGCUUCAGUGGACAAAGCAUGAAGGAGCUCUUUCUGUAUCAUUUCUAGCUAUUUCUACCAUUGUUUGUUCAAGCUUGUUGUUGCUACUAUAAUAGCUGUACUAUUUUUUUUUUUUUUUUUUUAAUGCAGUGGAAGUGACUUGUAAGUUGUAAUACAACACAGAAAAACCGGAGCAUCUAGAAAGUUUUUUCCAAGCGAAGUUGUGCUGUAUUGUUAAUUUAGUCACUUUGAUUUACAAUAAAUGUAAAAUUGAGAUGUUAUUUUUACUUCCAUAAUUGAGUUCAUUGUUUCCACACAUCUCAUGUCCUGCUCAAAACUUACGCAAGGUUUCCAGUUCUAAAAGCUUAAGUGAGUAUAUAAUAAAUAUGUGAUGUUGCUUUUGAAGAAGAUGCUGUGUUAGUAACCUUAGUAAUCUUUUACCUAAGGUAUUCAUUCACAAGUAGCUCGAGUUUGAUUCAAAAUUGAAUAAGCAAACCUCGAGGUUGGCUCAAUCGUAAACAAGCCGAGCGUGACCGAGCAAAGUUUUUCAAUAAAUGCCCUCAAAGUUACAAGCAUACCAAGCAAAAAUUCUUUAUAUACAACACCAAAACCACAACACAAAAUGCUUAGCAAUAAAGAGAGGGAAAAAAAGAAGAAGAAGAAGCACCUACAGUCAAAGUAGCAACACAGAAUGCAAGGCGGUUGAAUCGUGAUCAGUUCCAAAUCCGAAGGCGUGGAUCGGAAUUCUUUGGCCUGAGCCAUGAAGAAUGGAUAACGGGAUAAGCAGCCCGUAGUCUAUAGAGGCUCCGCUAUUGUUAGAGGAGAAAGAAGGAUUAUGCUACCAACUGAAGGAUUAUGUAUCUUGUCCAUCGGAAAGGAGGAUGAUGCUACCAACUGGAUUCUUAAGACGCCGUUGAUCGAACACCUUGGCAGCUUUCUUCAAUCCCUCUGCUAUGUUGGUGCCGCCAUUAGCAACCAGCGAAUUGACAGCCUGCAGGGCUGCAUGCCGACCAGACUCUGACAUACGACGGAGGUGGAAGAGCCGACGGGCCAUGGAUGAAAAUGCAAUGACGGAGAGCCGAUCAGAUGUUCCGAGAUUCUGGAUCACAAACCCUAACGCACGCUUCAAAAGUGCAAGUUUCGUUCCCGCCAUGCUGCCACUUACAUCAACGACCGCGACGAGGUCUAUAGGAGCACGCGAAGAUUGCACGCUCGUCGAAGUAGGAUGAGGGGCUUUGACAUGUAUCAAUAUAGUAAAGUCUUCGUGCGAGGAUGAUUGCGGAAUCGCAGAGAAUUCCGGAUAUGUCCUUAACUCCACUCUUCUAUCAGAUUCAGUUUGGGGAAUUUGAACUGUUUCGGACUGCAAAACUAUAGGCUGAUCAUCAUUGAAAGCGGCCGGCUCUUCAUCACGGUAGAGAGGAAGGUACCGGUGUACCUGGUUCACAAAGUCUACGAUUGGGUUCGCUUGAGCUUGUCCAAGAGUUACAUCGAAGGCGGGGGGGCUGAGGAGGGGAAUCUCACUCCACUUGGCUCUACAAACCGGACACAGAGAAUUACCGUGCUUUAUGCUCGAUGAGAUGCAGUGGAAGUGGAACAUAUGCGAGCAUUCUGCAGUGAAGAGCGCAUGACCACAGCCCGGUUUCAUGGCACAAAGGCAUAUGGCACAUAUUCUCUGAAAAUGGAAUUUUUUUAAUGAGACUUAGUUAGGGAACUUGUAUAAAUAUGUGAAAUAGAAAAUAAGUGACAAAAAUAACAGGAUUGCAUCUGGUAUAAUAGGUUACAUAUUUAGAGCUGAAGGGUGAACUAAAAACAACAAAUGUACUGAAACUAGGAGCAGGGCAGCUACGCUCUCAGGAGUACGGAGGCCUCCAUGGUCCUGAGCCGUUUUCGGUAAUAGAAUUUUCGAAUCAACGAUCUGCUCCGUUAGACUUGAUCUAGCGUAUUUGAAAUUUCUAGAAAAUAAUUUUUGCGAUUUUUCGAUAUCAUUUACCUAGCAAUCGAAAUGAUUCAAAUUCAAUAAUUUUUAACGGCGGAAAAUAAAAAUCCUAUAAAAAGUAGUGAUAUAGCACUAAAAUUUUCGAUCAGAAAUAUUGAUCUUGUUGUAGAUAGUAUAAAGAAUUUUCUAUCAAAAUUUCUCUGAUUUGAAUAUUUCUAUAUCGUUAAACUUGAAAAUGACAGAUAUCAACCAUUAAAAAUUAUGAAUUUUGAAUCCUUUCGAUCACUAGGUAAAUGAUAUUAAAAAAUCGCAAAAAUUAUUUUCUACAAACUUCAAAUGCGCUAGAUCAAGUCUAACGGAGCCGAUCAUCGAUUCGAAAAUUCCAUCAUCGAAAACAACUCAAGAGCACGAAGGCCUCAUGCUCCUGAGAGCACAGCAGCCCUGCUCCUCAAACUAGAUAACAAAUAUAUAAAAAAUUUAUCAUACAGGCCAAAUUUUGCUUACGACGGGACAUAACAAGGUACAAAAUUGAAGUGCUAAUUAAAGCAAUAAUGCACCAAAAAAAGGUUAAUAUGGUUACUAGGAAUUUCAUCAUCAGCAAAGUCAAACACAAAUAUAUACUAAAAAUUUUAGAAAAUGAUAGAUCCAAAAUCUUCUUCUGGUAUUGAAAUUUGCCGAAAAGUUUUUUUUGUCUCAUAUUAAACAGAUUACCAAAAGGAGUUCCAGGGCCUUUCACUCAACUGAAUACUAGUGAUUAGCACUCACUCAACUGAACACUAGUGAUUAGCACUUGUAUCCUAUAUGUAAUUGUACACUGCAUACAUACAUAUUAUACAUACAAAGAAAUGAGUCUGAUUACAUUUAAAUUUAGCCAGAUAAAUAGCAGGCGGUCAUAAAAAGAAGCACAUAAAGGGCUUGGAUAACAAAGCAAAGUAUCUGCAAGAUAUAAGUAUGAGUUAUUUAAAUAUCCUAUGCCAUAUAACAGACUCAGAGAUGAUCUAAAAGUAAGUAUACAACACAAGUUACUCCUCUUAAACAUUAACAUCAACAAAGAAUACAAUAUCCUACAGUAUUAGACUAGGCGAAUAUGCUAAGACAUCUUAACACCUGCUUGCUAAGUAGCAGGUGGAUACACUUAGAUCUGUUUUGCAUAGAGAAUUCCAGGACACAUGCAUAUGGGAGAAACUAAAAAUAAUAAUAACCCCUGAUAUGUUUUUAUAUAAUUAAUUUUAGUUUGAAAAAUUAACUUUGUUUAAAAGCUGUAAAACGUUUGGCUAAGUUUAGAUAAAAGUAAUUUUUUUUAAUUGAUUUUGUAAAAUUGUUUGGCAAACAAAAUUUAAUGUUUGCAUAUAAUAAUAUUUUUACUAAAUUUUAUUUUAAAAUAAUUUAAAAUUUUAAUUAAAAUCUAAAAUUUGUACCAAAUUGAAAUUUUGGUAUUUUAAUUUAAAAAGUAUAUUUGAAAAUUUAAAAUUUAAAAUUCAAAAUUUGAAAUUUUAAAUUCUAAAAUUUUAAAAUUUAAAUUUUAUCUUAAAUUUGAAAAUUUGAAUUUUAAAAUUUAAAAAUUGAUAUUUAAAAUUUAAAUUUAAAAUUUAAAAUUUGAAAUUUAAUAUCUAAAUUUUAAAAUUUAUAUUUUAAAAGUUAAAAUUUAAAAAUUCAAAAAUAAAUUUAAAAUCAAAAAUUAAAUUUAAAUUUUGAAUAAAAAAUUAAAAUAAAAAUUUAAAAUUUGAGUCUAAAAUCAAAAUCAGAUUUCAAAAAGUAGAUUUUAGUUGCUUUCGAUUUUAGACAUAAAAAAAUCAUAAAACUGAUUUUAAAAAUUAAAAUUAGAUUUUUAAAAAAAAGUUGUCAAAUGCUCUAACCCUUUAAUUAAAAGCAAUCUACAAUCCUUUAUUUACCAUAUUUGCAGAGACGUGCAUGUAAUUAACCCUUUAAUUAAAAACAAUUUACAACCCCGCUGCAGCUUCAGCUUCAGCUUCGUCGUUCAAAGGAUCGGGCUCUCUCUCUCUCUCUCUCUCUUGUCAUGUGCUUGUUGCUCAACCUUAACAAGGAUGAUAACUGGGGCGUAGAACCUCGAAAACCCUAAAGAUCGGGGUGACGAAGGAUCCGCGAAUUGGGCCUUCCUCGUGUCUCGAUUUGGGAUUAGUUGAGGGAGUCGGUUGUAAUAUUUCCAUCAAAAAACAUCAUUUUUCAAGAGUUUUCGUUUUCCGGAGAAAUUAUUCGAAAAACAAAAACGAAAGGUAAAUUUUUCACUAAAUCUGACUUUCAAACCCUUUUAAAAAAAAACAUUUUUUUUUUCUAAAAAACAAAAAUAUUAUCUUUUAGAAUAUAUUUUGGAAACUUGAGCAUUCCCGGAAAGUAGCGUAAAGCUAGAAAUUUCCUUUUUUUUGGGGCUAAAAUAUUGAAAAAAUUUUCUUGUAAAUAUAUCUAUUUUUCACGUUAUCCAACGGGAAGGACAGAAUGAUUAAAUUAUUUUUACUUUUAAAAAAUAUAUUUGAAUAUAUUUAUAUUAUUUUGAAAGAUUUUUUUGAUAUAAAUUAUAAAAAAUAAAUAGUAUAGUGAUAAAAUCCUAACGUAGGAGGCUAAAUAUAAUAACUUGAAAUAUUAAUUUGGUAAAUUUUUUUAAAAGUUAGGAAGAAAAAAUAAAAAAAUAAAUAUUUAUAAGAAGAAAUUUUAUAAUUUAACCCUUUUUUUUUGUAAAAAUAGUGAUAUCAGUGGAUGUAGGUAAAUUCCACUUUUGGUCCUCCAACAAUGAUAGUGUGAUACUUUAGUUCUCGAACUUUAUUGUAAUUUUUUAUUCGAAUUAUGAAAUACGUGAUAUUUUAAUCUUCCAAUUUUAAUUAGUUGUAUUUUUUUGGCUUGAACUAGCUUUUCAAAUUGGUGCAGUCAUGUCGAGCUUUAAUUUAUUUUAUUAUUUAUUUUUUAAAUUUAUUUAAUUUUAAUUAUUUAAUAAUAUUUAUAUUAUAAAAACUUUAACUUAUAGCUUACUUUUACCAGCUUGAUUAAUAUAUUAUUUUACAUAAUUUAUAUAACUUAUCAUUUUAACACAAUAAAUAAUAAGUCUGAAUUUUAUGUCAAAAUAGUCGUGAAAUUACUUAUAUAGUUUAAAAUUAAAAAAUUAUUAUAAUUAAAAUUUUUAAAAAUUAAAUAGUAUGAAAAAAUUAAUUCCCUGCACCCAGUGCACCAUGUCACUCGCCCACCACAGCACCAUUCCCAUCACUUUAGUUUUUUUUCAAUUGAAAGUUUUUUUACUCACAAACAAAUUUUACAAUAUUUUACAAAUUAUACAAUUCAAUAGAUAGAUUCUAAUUUUAAAAUUAUAAAUUAUAUUUAACUUCUCGUGAUGUGUAUUUUUUUCACUAAUAAAAUAUCUUUAUAUAUAUAUAUAUAUAUAUAUAUAUAUAUAUAUAUAUAUAUAUAUAUCAAGUAGUAUAGAUUAUGUUCAACGGUGCCGAUCAUUGAUNGAAAUUUAAAAAAAGGAAUAGCAAUACGUUUGUCACAUGGAAAAGAAUCCACUUAAUUUCUACAUAUUAUAUUUUUUUGGCUUGGUUAAACUGUGCUAUCAUAUAAUUUGUUUACAUUUGAUUACAUUUUAUUUAGCUCUCAAGCUUUUAAGCAUGACAUUUAAAACUUAGAAACUAUAAAAAGUAAUUCACUUUAGUCCUACAAAUUAAAAAAGUAUUAAUAAAUUACUAAUAUCGAAUAAAUAUAGUAUUUUAAUUAUUAUCGCAUCAUCAAAUAGAAUAUUACUAUAAUUUGAAAAAAUUCGAGAACUAAAAUAUCACAUAACUUAUAAUUCAAAUAAAAAAUUAUAAUUAAUUAAAGUUUGAGAAUUAUAACAUCACGCGUCUUAUAAUUUGAGUUCGAAAUUGCGAUAAAAUAAAGUUGGAAUCUUGAGUAGUUUUUUUUUUUUUUUUUUUUUUAAGAGAGAGAUAGAUAGCACGCUAUCCGUUUCGUUUAUUUCAUUUAGAAAUAAACUUAUCUGAAAAUGUGAAUCAACUAGGAUUCAAACUUGAGUCUCAGACUCUCGGAUACCAACCAUCAAAUUCUUUGCCACUUGCUCUAGGAACAGACGGUAUCUUCAGCUUUUAUUAAGAUGAGGAUUCGGAUGGGUAAUGCGAUUUUCAACGGGCCCAACCCAACACGGUGGAAAAACUACUUUGUGAGUUGCUGAGAAGUUACGCAGAAACUCCUACAAUAUUGGCUGUUCAAAACUAUUGGGUCAUCCCUUUCAGUCUUUCAUUGUGUUCAUCUGAUCAUCUGAGGAAGAACUAGAGAGCUAGCUAUAUAUACAUGAAACAUGGCUUUGGCCUUGGUAGCUGAGUCCGCGGCAUCGGUCGUAAUCGAGAAGCUGAUCAGCACGGCCGUAUCCUACGUCGGGACGUGCGGCGCCAGGCCGAGCGCCAUGCAGGACGAGAUCCAGAGGCUUCAGCUGGCUUCUCUGCGGAUUCGAACGAUCUUGGCUGUCGUCGAGGGGGGGCAGACUGUCACUACGAAGCAAAACAACGUGCUGGACGCCUGGCUGUGGCAACUCAGAGACGCUGUCGAUCAGGCGGACGACGUGCACGACGAGAUGGAGUACUACGAGCUGAAGAAGGCAGCGCAAGCUGGAGAUAACAAGGUACUAUUAGGGUUAAAGUCUGGAAUUUGAUUUAAUUUUACAGAUUUUUGAUUAAGUCAACUAACAAAUAAAUAUUAAAUUAAAGACGAAAUUAAAUUAAAAGAUAAAGGGUUUCGAAAAAUAGCUAGAUGAGACGUAUAAUGCACUAUCCGAGAGUAAUUUUAGUCCCUCUGCAUUCUUGUCUUCGGCUGGUUGCUCUAGCAACACAACACCUUGAAUUAUUCCGAUCUGCUUGAUUGUACAGUCUCAAAAAAGUGCCUGAUUUAAUAUCAAUUUGGCUCUUUUUUUUUUUUUAGAGAGAAAGAUAAUGCUACUUGCUUUUUUUAUUUUUUUAAAAAAAAAUUUAGCUGGAAUGGAAUUUCGAAUAUCAAUCACGAAAUUUGUUGCCACUUACACUAGAGAGAGUCGGUUUGGCUUUCAAAAUCUUAAAUUUUCUAGUAAAAAAAUCUUUUUAGUUAGGAUAUUGUAUAUAUCUCCCUUUUAUUGCUUUUUUAUAUAAAUAUAUAAAGUUGACGAAAGGAUGUUGUAGGAUGUUUCGCCAAAGAGGAAUAUACGAUCCCCCAUCUCGUCGCGUAACUUCCUUAUAUUAAAUAUAUUGUGUAUAAAUUAAAUUUUAAAUUAAAUCUUUUAAUUAUCUAAUUUGAUUUAAGUUAAAUUUUUUAACUUAAACUAAUUCCGGCAGGUAAAACAAGGUUCUGCACUCAACUUAAAAAGGAAGUUUGCUGAUUUUGCUAACAAUAUCUUCGGAAAUGACGACGCCCUGACGAGGUUGAGGGAGGCCGUGAGGGAGGCCGUGAAGGCGUUAGAUAAUGUUGCUGCUAUAAGUGAAGUUUUACUUCAGCUUGUUUCGCAGCUAUACAAUUCGGAUGUUAAGCGUCAACAUGAAGAUGAGAUACGAAAUGCCCGUGAGACUAGCUCCUUCUUAACUGAGGAUACGAUUUGCGGUCGAGACACGGAGAAGGAAAGGAUAGUUGAAUGGUUAACAAAACCGACAAGCGAUGAGCCGGAGAAUGCUUCUGCAACUGUCGGAAAGGUCUCGGCUUUUGCGAUCGUUGGCAUGGGUGGGUUGGGAAAAACCACUCUCGCGCAGUUCAUCUGCCGCGAUGAAAAAGUGCGGGAGUUCUUCGACUUGGUUUUGUGGGUGUGUGUUUCCGAUCAAUUUGAUGUGGCGAAGUUGACGAAAAAGAUGUUGGAAGCAGCAGAGAUUGACGAGAAAGAUCUUCGCGACAAGAGCCUUAAUGCAAUUCAAGAGAUUCUUAAAAAGAAUCUGAUCUCCAAGAAGUUUCUUCUCGUGUUGGAUGAUGUUUGGAAUGAUGAUAAAAUACUUGAAUGGAAUAAAUUGGUGGCUCCUUUAAAAUGGGGAAAGAAAGGAAGCAAGAUUCUCUUGACAACGCGAAUGAAUUCAGUGGUGGAAAGAGUAGCCAAUGUUUUACAAUGUAAAAGAGAAUUUUUAAAAUUGAGUGGGUUAGAAAAAGUUAAUUUUAUGCAUCUUUUCAAUAUGCAUGCAUUUGCCGGAGCGAAUAUUGACAAUCAUGUAAACCUAAAAUUGAUUGGAGAGCAAAUAGCAGAGAAGCUUGGGGGAUGCCCGUUGGCAGCAAAAAUUUUGGGCGGAUGUUUGAACUCUUGCAUGGAUGAAAAAUACUGGAGAAGAAUUUUGAAUGAAAAUUUUCUAAAUUUGCAAGAAAGUGAGGACAACAUUAGGAUGAUUCUGAGAUUGAGCUAUCAUGAUCUGCCGACAAGCUUGCAAAUUUGCUUCAGAUACUGCAGUAUAUUUCCUAAGAAUCGUGAGUUUGAAAAGAAUGAACUUAUCAAUAUGUGGACAGGUUCUGGGUUAAUCAAGAAACCAAUGCAUGAAAGGCGAAGCUUAGAGGAUAUCGGAGAGGAGUAUUUAAACCAUCUAGCAAGAAAAUCCCUAUUUGAUAUCAAAAUAAUCAAGCAUGGUUAUGACCAUAAACAACAUUAUGUCAUGCAUGAUCUGUUGCAUGAUCUAGCUCAACUUGUCUCUUCAGGGGAAUGUUUGGGAGUUGAAGGUGACGGUUCCAGACAAAUUCCCAAAACAAUAUGCCACUUAUAUCUCAACAGGGUAAACCCUCAUAUGGUCUCCAAUCUCAAGAACUUGUGCACUCUUAUUAUUCAUUUAAAUAAGGAUUAUGUACUGGUAUUUAAUGAGGCUCUAAAAAAGUUAAAAAGCUUACGUUUACUGCAACUGACUGCAGAUAACUAUAAGUUUCUGAUUGAAGUUGGUAACCUCAUUCACCUCCGCUACCUCUCCCUCUCUUCAUCUCUUUCCAUGGGAAAUGAGGGAUCUAUUCUACCUCAAUCUAUGUGUAGACUCUAUCACCUAGAAGUAAUAAAGCUUCAGGGAAGGAUUGAAAUAGAUGAUUCGACACUGGAUAGAAUGAGCAAUCUUGUUAAAUUGAGGCUGCUACAUACUCCUAAUCAUAUGGACAAGAUUCCUUGGAUUGGCAAACUAACAUCACUCCAGGAGUUAGACAAUUUCCGUGUCCGUGAGGAGUGCGGCUAUAAGAUAGAUCAAUUAAAAAACCUGCAAAACCUCCGAAAACUAGGCAUUGGGGGUCUGGAAAAUAUAAGGAGUUCCGAAGAGGCUGCGGAGGCCAACUUGAUUGAGAAAAAAAAUCUUGAUAAAUUGUCACUCGUUUGGUCUACGAAUCGCUCUGGUGGUCUAGAGGUAGAUGAGCCACUUCUUGAUAAUUUAAGACCGCAUACCAAUCUCAAGGAACUAGGAAUUGUAGAAUAUGCCGGAGUUAGAUCUCCAUGUUGGAUGACGGCGACAUCUCUUUCUAAUGUAACGGAUAUCAAACUACGGUUCUGUAAGAGAUGCGAGGACCUCCCAACUCUUGGGCAACUUCGUUCGCUCAAGUUCCUUAAUUUACAUAGCAUGAAGGCUGUGAAGAAAUUAUUAUGGUGCUCAACAAGUGUUGGCAGUUGCGCCUUCCCAUCACUACAGGAGCUACGAUUGUCUGACAUGCGAAACUUGGAGUCGUUCGAAGGCGAGCACAUGUUUCCUCUGCUUAAAAAAUUGGAAAUAGAUGUUUGUCCUAGCUUGAAGAGUUUGCCUGCUUUGCCUCUCACUCUAAAUGAACUGAGGAUUUUUAUGGUCGGAUUGACUUCUCUUCCGACGAUGCAACAAGAUUGCAGUAGCGACAAAGGACGAGCAUCGUGCUCAUCAUCGUCGCAUCCGGCACUUUCUCACCUAAGCAUUUGUGAGUGCCCAAACCUCACAUCUCUAGAUGGAUUCAUGUUACAGCAACAAUAUUUUCCAGCCUUCAAGUGUUUAUUCACUAGACGUUGUGAAAAUCUAAGGCAUUUGCCGGGAAAAUUCUUCCAAAAACUUCCCUCCCUCGAGGAGUUGCUUAUAGGACUGUGCCCCAAUCUCAUGGCGCACGGGAUUCCAGACAAUCGAUUUCCCGAGACACUAGAAAGGCUCACCCUUGAAUCAAACGGCGAUCUCGAAUUUUCCCUACUCGAGGAGUCAUUGCCAAAACUGACCGCUCUGCAGUACUUGGCCAUUGAUGGAUGUGCAAGCAUGACGUCCCUUCCUCCGGCGGAACUUUUUCCACAGUUGUCGGAACUCCACAUCUCGAACUGUAAAGAACUGUCGUCACUGGAUGGGCUACAAGCUCUCCCCUCGCUCAAUUACUUGUACAUUGAAGGAUGCGACAAGCUCAUCGAACUUUCACUGUUGCAACCACCAUUAGGCCUCACCAGUACCAGUCCCACAGGUAUGGAGCUUGUUAUUCUUGAAAUCGACCGGCAAGCUCUGUUGCGCGUCGAACCAUUGAGAAACCUCAACAACUCUGUUACCGAGUUAAGAAUAAUUGAUGGUACCGAACUCACAUCCCUCGACGACCAAGGGCUGUUGCAAAACCGAAACUCCCUCCGGAGCUUUGCAAUUAUUAAGGCCUCGUCUCUUGAAUCCUUACCAACCAGUAUGAUGGAUCUUCAAGCCCUGUGUGAAUUGUUUAUAGAUGAUGCUCCUUUGCUUCGGACGAUUCCGGAACUGCCCACCUCAAUGGAAUAUCUAUCAAUUACCGGCUGUAGCGCCGAAUUGAAGGAGUACAUUGAAGGCUCUGGAAAAUUCGCCAAUAUUCCUCGUGUGGAGGUUACUUAAAAAUCUCCUUCAGAAAAAGAUCGAGUAUGUCCCGUCUCUUUACUAUCUCUAAAAUGCAACAUUUUCUUCUCAAUAUUAUUUGCAUCUUAGGCUUGUCUGACCCUGUCUUUUUUUUUUUUUUUGCCUAGUUUCAGCAAUAACAGCCUCUAAUAAAGCAUUUGGCAUUGGCAUAUAUAUAUCUAUAUGAGUCCGGCUGCUAUGCUAUUGAUAGCACCAAAUACUUGGUUGGUGCUAUCAAGUAUUUUGCCAUUAGAUUAACCUCUUUGAUUAUUUUUACCCGUUAGAUUAUACUAUUCAACCAACCACCCACUUAAUCCUCGGAGACCCAUAUCAUCCUAACCGUACAUUUCUCAAUCCAAUGGCUAAAACACUAAUAGCACCAAUUGCUUGGUGCUAUUGAUAGCAUUCCAGCCUAGUUCUAUAUAUAUAUAUAUAUAUAUAUAUAUAUAUAUAUAUAUAUAAUUAGCCUGGAAUACUAUUAAUAGUAAAACACUCUUUUUGCUAUCAAAUUUUUAACCCUUGGAUGAAAAAUUGUAGGGUCAGGAUGAUAUUAGUCGGUUAGAGUUGCGUGGUCCCCCUAGGGUUGAGUGGUCCCUACUGGGUUAUAAUAUUUAAUCCAAUGGUUAGAAAUAAUGAAAAGAGUUGAUCCAAAAGCUAAAAAACUGAUAGCAACAAUGAAAUUUUGCUACUAAUAGNGGACGAUUCCGGAGCUGCCCACCUCAGUGACAUUUCUAAGAAUUACCGGCUGUCUCCCCGAAUUGAAGGACUACAUUGAAGGCUCUGGAAAAUUCGCCAGUAUUCGUUGUUUGCAGGUUGGUCAAAAAUUUCCUUAAGAAAAAGCUUGGGUAAAUGCACUUUUUCUUUCCAAUAUUAUUUGCAUCUUAGGCUUGUCUGACCCUGUCUUUUUUUUUUUUUUUGCCUAGUUUCAGCAAUAACAGCCUCUAAUAAAGCAUUUGGCAUUGGCAUAUAUAUAUCUAUAUGAGUCCGGCUGCUAUGCUAUUGAUAGCACCAAAUACUUGGUUGGUGCUAUCAAGUAUUUUGCCAUUAGAUUAACCUCUUUGAUUAUUUUUACCCGUUAGAUUAUACUAUUCAACCAACCACCCACUUAAUCCUCGGAGACCCAUAUCAUCCUAACCGUACAUUUCUCAAUCCAAUGGCUAAAACACUAAUAGCACCAAUUGCUUGGUGCUAUUGAUAGCAUUCCAGCCUAGUUCUAUAUAUAUAUAUAUAUAUAUAUAUAUAUAUAUAAUUAGCCUGGAAUACUAUUAAUAGUAAAAUACUUUUUUUGCUAUCAAGUUUUUAACCCUUGGAUGAAAAAUUAUAGGGUCAGGAUGAUAUUAGUCGGUUAGAAUUGAAUGGUCCCCGUAGGGUUGAGUGGUCCCCACUAGGUUAUAUUAUUUAAUCCAAUUGUUAGAAAUAAUGAAAAGAGUUGAUCCAAAUGCUAAAAAACUGGUAGCAACAAUGAAAUUUUGCUACUAAUAGUAGCCCAGUCCAACUAUAUAUAUAUAUAUAUAUAUAUAUAUAUAUANUUAAUAUAUAUAUAUAUAUCUCUCUCUCUCAACUCGACCUUAUGAUAGUCAUCGUUUGUCCGAGGCGACGGUAGGUAAACAAAAGCUACUACCUCGGAGGUUUAGCUGCUAGCCAUGGCAACUUUUACUAGAUAUGGUGAACUUCAUAGUUCUUUAGUUGAAAGUACGAAAAAGCUAUAACAAAAGAACAAAUAGUUCACCCGCAUUUUUACUUGCCGACUUUUACUUAUAGGAGAUUUUUCAUUACUAUCCUUAAAACGUUAGUUCUAGCUCUCAUAUCUAGAAUAAGAUUUAUUAAAAUUUUUUAAAGAUUGGUUUUAAGUUAACUAAACCUAUCAAAAUGUGGCAAUUUACUCUUUUGUGGAGUAUAGCUGGUAAUUUUAAUUUUUAAAACUUUGGGAAACUAGUAAACCAAUUACUACAAUUUUUCUAAACUUUAUACUAAAGAUGUAUGAAGUUCACCAUCUCUAGUAUAAGUUGCCACGGCUAGCAGCUAAAUUUCCGAAAUAGUAGCUUUUGUUUACCCACCGUUGCCUCAGACAAAUGAUGGCUAUCGUAAGAUCGAGUUGAGAGAGAGAGAGAGAGAGAGAGAUAUAUAUAUAUAUAUAUUUGAUUAUCGUGGUUAACGAACCACGAUAAUUAUCAUAAGGUCGGAUCAAGAUAUAUAUAUAUAUAUAUAUUGUUACAUACGUAUAUUUUUAUAUUAUUUAUUACCUUAAUUAUUAAUUAAAUAGAUUGAAAUAAAAAAUUUAAUAAUAAAAAUAAUUUAAAUUGGUUUUUGUACAACAUAAAUUUUUGUAAAAACUUAUUAAUAAUUAAAUUAUUUUAUAAAGACAUGUAUGAAAAAAAAAAGAGAGAGGAAAUGAUUAAAAUAAUUUUNUUAAAAAAUUUAUAUAAAGUUAAAAUUUAGAAAUAAUAGAUAUAUUAACUGUUCGUUAUUAGUUAUUUAAUUUUAUUUUGUAAAAAAAUAAUUAAUUGAAUUUGGUCAAAUUUUGUAUAAAAUUUAAUAAACAUUUUGUCUAGUUAACAAAAAUUAAUCAUAAAAUCUUAAAAAUGAAUUAGUUAAAAAAAUAAACUUGCGGGGUCUAUUUCAAAGCGUCAUAAUCGUAGAGGUAGUCUUCACAAAUUUUACCUUUUUUUUUUUUGGGUGAAAAUGUAUAGAGACUUCAUAAACUUUUAGUUUUUGGACUUGGAUAAUUUUUGUUGGCUUAAAGGGCCGAAUCAUAAUCGAGACUCGUGAGCGUCGUAUCUUUAUGUUUUUAAGUGAAUUGAUUGUGAACAGAUUAACGGCGCGUUUGGAUAAAUGAAAAAGUGACACUUUAAUCAAUAAUAUUACAAGUUGGAUUGUUGGAUUAGUUGAAUUUUCUCCUCAAAAAGAAAAGAAAAAAAGAAAGAGGAUUGGUUGAAUCAUUCAAUACUUCACAUUUUUUAUCUAAUAAUUUAGUACCUUUGCAUAAAUCAUAAAGUUAAUUUGUAUUAUAUAGUGUUCUCGUUUCAUUAUACAUCUGUGAUAGAUAUAUUCUUUUUUAGAGAUGAUACAAAGUUUUUUUCUUUUUCUCUUUUUUAUUUUCUGCAUGUGUACCUGCAUUAAGUUGCUUUCUAGUUGCUUGAUCUUAUGCUGCCAUAUAAGUUGCAUCAGCGUUUUUUCCAAAGUAGGUAGUUGUGUAGGUCACUGUACAAUAUAUUUGUUUGAAAUUCUAAAAAUAUUUUUUUCCAGAUUGAUAGACCUUUGAGCUACGAAAAUUUUGUACAACCCUUUACAUUAUGGAAUGCAUGAUUGAUAUGUUUACGUUUCAAUAACAGCUUCUGGAAAUGGUGCUCCAAAAUCGUCGGGGGCACCUGUCUUGUCAACUGGAAAGCCAUCUGCAAAAGCAAGAGAGAUGGCGGACUAGGCAUCAAGGACAUGGAAUCGAUGAACACGGCUCUCUUGACUAAAUGGUGAUGGCGCUUCUUUAACGAGCCAAACUUGUACUGGUACAAAUUGAUCAGAUCUCUCUACUAUGCCAGAACAGAACAGCUUGAGCUUAAUUUGUCUUCAAAUUAGGAGCUCGAUCAAAUUUAUAAUCAAGUGGAGCUGAUUGCAGAACAGAAAAUAUGAAAGCAUCGGCGGAUUUCUGCUUCGACAAAGUUCACCUUUCAUGUUGUAAUUGCUUGAUGAAGUUCAAAGUAGUUCAUUAUUACGUUUUAUAUAUUUAUUUUUCCCUUAAGUUCCGUUACUGUGAUUUUCUGGUACUAUGUUUGAUAGCAGAUUUAUUAACUUGCUUUCUUCUGCAGUUGGCUUUAGUGGACAAAGCAUGAAGGAGCUCUUUCUGUAUCAUUGCUAGCUAUUUCUACUGUUGUUUGUUCGCGCUUGUUGUUGCUACUAUAAUUACUACUUUUUUAUUUUUUAAUGCAGUGGAACUGAUUUGUAAGUUGUAAUACAACACAGAAAAACCCAAGGAUCUAGACAGUUUUUUCCAAGCGAAGUCGUGCUGUAUUGUAAAUUUGGUCACUUUGAUUUACAAUAAAUGUAAAAUUGAGGUGUUAUUUUUACUUCCAAAAUUGAGCUCAUUGUUUGUGCACAUCUCAUGUCCUGCUCAAGACUUAGCAAGGGCUCCAGAUCUAAAAGCUAAAGUGAGUAUACAAUAAAUAUGUGAUGUUGCGUUUGAAGAAGAUAGUGUGUUAGUAACCUUAGUAACCUUUUACCUAAGGUAUUCAUUCACAAGUAGCUCGAGUUUGAUUCGAAAUUGAAUAAGCAAAGCUCGAGAUUGGCUCAAUCAUAAACAAGCCGCGCGACACUGAGCAAAAGUUCUUCAAUAAAUGCCCUCAACGUUACAAGCAUACCAAGCAAAAAUUCCUUAUAUACAACACCAAAACCACAACACAAAAUGCUUAGCAAUAGAGAGGGAAAAAAAAAAGGAAAAAAAGAAGCACCUACACUUUUCCCAUUACAACACUAAACACCAUCUAACAACCCAUUCCUUCUCCACCUCCCCAGAUUUUAUUCUUUUGUAUACCCCCCACCACCUUAAAACUAACAAUAAGAAAGAAACAUACAGGUACUGACCAAGGAAGAAAAAAUAUUUACUAUAAAUUAAGUUUCACCCUUUUUGCUCCCUUUUAUAGGUCUUCUGAAGAAAACCAUGUUGUUACCUUCCCUGUGGCCGGACCGGGCCUCGAGGCGAGGGCGGACCCAACAUCUGCGAUCGGCGCACCAUGUCGACCAUGGAUUGCGUUUGAUAGACACCAACAAGGUUAGCACUGUCGGUCGAGUUCCCCCGUGCUGUCGCCCUUUGCAUAGAAUGCGAGCUCAGACCAGAAAGCAUGUACGCGCGGCCUGUGGUUCGGUACCUUUGAUGAUCCGCCAUCCUCUCCUGCAACUGCUUUAACUCUGCGUCGAG